rnacentral:lncRNA from 1 species
CUGUCCAUCUGCAAUACUUUCACCACCAUCUGUUUUUGUCUCUCCUGAAUCUGAAUUUGCAUCUUCUGUCUUAGAAUCUCCUUCCCCAUCCCCAGAUUUGUUUUCCCCGUUUUCUGCCUCAUUUGUUGACCCAUCUUCUGGCUUAUUUUCUUCCUCAUUAAUGAGUUUCUCUUCUGGCUUCUCCUGUUUUUCCUCCAGACCAUUUUCCGAUGGUUUCUCAGGAACAGCCGGAUUAUCUUGGGGAUUAGGGUUUUUUUCAUCCUGAGUGAAACUCACACCAUCCCCCUUCUUUGCAUCAUCUGUUAGAUCACCGGAACUAUCCUCAAAUUGCCUAGUAUCACUAUCAUUACUUUCAACCACUUGUUGCUUCACCUCAUCUUUGGUCUCCUGAGUUGAGACAUCUGAAUUUUGAACCGGAACGACAGAUGAGGAUGUCAUCAUCCAAACCCCAACCAAGCAAAGAGCCACAAAAGCAACCAGAGUUGCUGUAGAACAAUAAUUGGUGGUCGAUCUCCUACCAUCGACUCUACUAUAUUUUCCUAAAGCCAUUUUUUACCUCAAUUAUCUCCUCAAAGUUCAAACCUGGAGAUUGAAAAACUAAUCAAAUACAAUAUCAAAUACUAAAUCUUUCUUUCAUCCAAAUAACCAAACAAGGACUCGAUAAGAACACUAAAUUUCAAGCACCUCAAAGCAUAUAACAUUUUUCUUUAAAGUUUUCAUCUAAAGGUGGUGCAAUCUCUCUAUCCAAUGAUAUGCCAAUCAUUUUUUUUCCCCUUUUUAGCUUCAAAUCCCAUUAAUUUCAAAAUUCCUUUUUCCAGUCAUUUUCAUACAUAUAAAUUAGCAAACUUUUAAAAUUAAAUUUGAAAAAUAACCAACAGAAAAUAAAACUAAAUCCAAAACAGAAAAUGUCACAUCCGCUAAUUUCAUUAUCAUGUGUUCCACAUCUUAUAUGGGACAACCCAAAAAAAAGAAAAAAAGAAAAACAAAACAAAACAAAACUUUUCAACAGACUCAAUUCCAAAUAUGAACUAGACAACCAGAUUCAAAAUAAACCACAAAUGAAAGGCUAGAUCACUACAAGGCGGAUCCGAUCAACAAGAAUCAAAAUUGAGAUUUCCUUUUCGUUUUUUUUUUUUUACAAGUGAAGCAACAAAAGCAACAAGCAAUCACUGGUCCAAGCUCAGAGAAAGGGUUCAGAUCUACACCAAAUCUUGGCAACAACACAGAAAAAAACCCAGUUUCAGCUGAAAAUCAAAACCAAAAAAAAUUCAAAAAAAAAAUAAAAUCAGAAACUGCUGUCUUUUGAGAUGAAAUGAACCACGAAAUCACAUCAGAUCUGCAUCUAAUGAACAGAAAAUGAGAGAAUUUGACAAACAGAAAAGGAAAUAAUGGAAAAAAGAGGAGAUGGGAAUGCGUGGAAUUGACGAACCGUGUGAAGAAUUGUGGCGGAUCUGAGAGCGAAAUGCUAGGGAGUGGACAUUGUUGUUGGAGAGGCAGGAGAGAGAGGAUAGGUUUUAUAGAAAAGAACGCAGAGUGGGGGGGAAUUUGUUUAUUGGAAAUUUAUUAUAAUAUUCUUUGUCCUUCCACUCCCCCCAUCUCGCGUAGUCGGCCAUAAGCAAGCCGUGAUUCCAGUGAAAAUUGGACAAGACGCCGUGAAUCCCGAAGCCACAUGGUUAAUUUCCACGCGCCUCUUGUAUCGCAUCCCAUUAUGGAUUCCAAAUUAUUAAUUUUGUGACUUAUUACGCUAGGUUAUAAAAUUCUAAGUCAAAAACUCCUAAAUUUACUCCCAACUCGGGUCUUUCAAACUGCUUGUCUAAUAAAAAACUUUAAUUAGAGGUUAAAAUACCGAAUUGGUGUAAACAAAAACUAAAUCAACCAGAUUUUUCAAAUUAAUAAAAAUCUUUAAAAAAGCUUUAGAGCUUGGGAAAGAGUUUUUUUUACUAAGUAUUCUUGUUCAUCGUUUUAAGUUCGAUCUAAAUUUAUGCAAGAUUGAUCCAUCUAUUUGAUCAUUUUUUUAGUCAUUGGAUUAAGGUUUUCCUUCUUAUUUAAACCCAAAACUAUCAUUUUAUAGCACAUACGUCCAGUGUGCUCUUCUCUAAUUCUUAGAAUGCAUGUGUCUAUUUGCCAAGAAAAUCCAACCCAUUUUGAAAUUCAAAACAAUUUUUAUUGAGUUUUUCUUAAAAUAUGGAUUGAUUCAUUUGGUUCUUUCAUUCAUUCUCUUUUUGAGGUUAUUGGGUUGAGAUAAAACUCAUUUUCUUCUUAUAUGGAUCAAGAAAAUGUCAACAUUGAGUUUGGUGUAAACUCUAAGUAUGAUGUUUCAGGAUAAAAAAGUGGGUAGCUCAAGUGAAAAUGUGUUAGUCAAGUGGUGUAAGAAAAAUUGGUAGACUUGAGUUAAGGAAACCCUUAUAUUAAGUUGCUAUUCUUCAUAGUGAAUGUUUUUUAUUACUUGUAGGUUUGUGGUUUUUUAUUUCUUUGGAGGCUUUCCAUAUUGAAUCUUAGUGUUAUUGUUUUAUUCUCUUUAUCUCCUCCUUAGUUGAUUUUCUCUAUGUUUAUCUUAGCCAUGAAAAUCAUCAUGUUUUAAUGAGUAGAUUUACAAAGAAUUUAAGUUAAAUUUUGAUUUUGAAAUCCUUUAAAUAGUUUGAUAAUUUUUAGCUAUAGACCCUUUAUUUUGUCAUCAUAGCUAUAGACACUGGAUAAGACCUAUGGUGAAUUAUGACGUAAAGAUAUCUAUUUUCAUGAUUCACCAAACUACUAUACUACAUAGAUGUUCAACCUUUAGGGGAUAUUAUGUCUAUACUAGAAUUAACAAGAGAUUUUGAUCUAUGGAUGAAACCCUAAAGUGGUCAUAUAUCCUUAAAGAUUGAGUCAUUGUUGAUGGAGGUUGGUGGCAAUAAGUAUUCUCAAUAGAGACACAUGAUAUCUCAUAGGAUGGAGGCAGUGUGUCUCAUUGGGUGAUCUAAAUAACACGUAAUUAUAAAAUUUGUGGUUGUACUUAUUCCUUUAAUGGAAUUUGACAUAUAUUUCUUUGAGUUGGAAUAUGUUAGUUAAUUAUACAAUAAGUGAAAUUUGUAACUCAAUGAUGUAAAUGGUGAUCUUUAUAGGUGAUAGCACUACUUUGUUAGAUUAUGAACACCAAUUCAUAGGGGGUUUGCAUGUAGUAGAUAGUAGGUCAUGGACUCAGACUUUCUUUCAUUGUUAUUUACAUAGGGUACUAAGGUGAACUGAUUCUCUAUAGUGGGAUGUUGAAUCACUUAAGAAUUAAAUUCUAAGAAAGCCAAUACUUUUAUGGGUCCUAGUGGUCCCCACUUUGAGCUCAUAUACCAUGUUGGCACAGUUUAUGAGGGUUGGAUUAACUUUUGGUUCAUUCUUGUGCAUAAGGACAUCUUAGUAAUUAUACAAUGUUGCACAAGGAAUAGUGAAUAAGGUCUCUUGAAGGAGUAAGCUAUUUAUUACCUAAGCAAAAGGAUACUAAAGUACAAAAUGAGAUACUUCAUGAUUAAGUGCCUAUAUUUAGCACUAAUUUAAGCUACCCGAAGAUUAAGACAUAUGAUGAAGUAUUAUGUACAUCAAUUUCUCACCUAGAUUCGCUAAGAUAUAUGUUUGACAGGCCCACAUUAACCGAUAAACUGAUAAGAUGGUUAGUGUUGUUGAACAAGUUUGAUAUCUAAUAUAUCUUUCAAAAGUUUGUUAAGCAAGAGUAUUGUUGGAUUAAGUCCCUAAAAGUAAGAAAUGAUAUAACAAAGUUAGAAUUGAUUGCCCUUACCUAUCAUUUUUAUGAAUUGACAUUGUUUUGAGCAUUCAACCCAUGACUUUGGUGUAUGAGGAGUUGUGCAAAAGAUACAAGUCAUAAGUUCCUUACAAGAUAAUAAGUAGUUCAUAGUUAGUUCAUGGAUUUGGGUAAUCUAAUGGAGAUUGUAGUGGACUACCUCCUAAUUAGGGGAAUGGUUUGUCUUAACCGUCGAGAUGGGGUUUUCAUGGUUAGUGCACUAGUGUGUAUGGUUACACAUUGGAUAAGACUAAUGAUGAAUCAUUUUGUAACGCUAUUACAUAGUUAUGAUUCAUCAAGUUACUAGAUUACUCUCAACCUUAAGAGGAUAUUGAGUUUGUGCUAAAAUCAACAAGAGGUUUUAACCUAUGGGUGAAACCCUAUUGUGGUCAUAUAUCCAUACAAAUUAGGUCAUUGUGAACAAGUGGCAACAGAUAUUCUCAAUAAAGGCACCAAGAUAUCUUAAAGGAUUAAGACAACAUGUCCCUUAGGUGAUCUUAAGGACAUGUGAUUAUGAAAUCUAUGGUCGUAGUAAUUCUUUUAGUGCAAUUUGACACGUUUUUUUUAGGUAGUAGGAGGAUAUGUAACUCAAUGAUUGAAAAGGUAAUUUAAUGGGUUGAUAGCAGUACCUUUUUCAAUUUCACACCCAUUCACGGAGAGUCUACUUGUAAUAAAUAGUAGGCCACAAACUUGAGUUUUAGUUUGUUUUAAUUUCAUAGGAUAUUAAAGUGUAGUUGACUAUCUUUAGUGGACUAUUGAGACAACUUUAAAAUUGGAUUAUGAGGGAGCCAAUAUUUUUCUAUGGGUCAUAGUGGUCUCUACUUGAGCUCCUAGUUCAUUGUGACACAUGUUGAGUGUAUUUUUUGUAUAUAAUUCAUUAGUGUGCGUAAGGGUGUUUUAAUAAAAACACAAUGUUGUACUAGAUUUUAUGAAUUGACUUUAUGGAAUGGGUUAAUUAAUUGGAUCCUAUGAAUGCUAAUUAAUUAAUUAGGAUCCAAGUUAGUUGGAUUAGAUAACCCAAGUCCAAUUUGAGUUCAAAAAACCUAAGAACUAUGAUUGUCAAAGAUAAAAACUUUUAAUACAAUAACAUAAUUAACUAACAUGCAUAAUAUGAAAAGAAUCAAAGAAACCUAAGAACUACCAUUGCCAAAGAUAAGUGCUUUUAGUUCAAUAACAUAAUUUACUAACAUGCGUAAUAAUAAAAGAAUAAAAAAAAACUAAGAACUACCAUUGCCAAAAAUAAGUGCUUUUAAUCCAAUAACAUAAUUAAUUAACAUGCGUAAUAACAAAAUAAAAAAAACUAAGAACUACCAUUGCCAAAGAUAAGUGCUUUUAAUUCAAUAACAUAAUUAACUAACAUGCAUAAUAACAAGAGAAUCAUAAAAACCUAAGAAUGCUCGUUGCCAAAGACAAAAACUUUUAAUUCAAUAACAUAAUUAACUAACAUGCAUAACAACAAGAAAAUCUAAAAACUUAAGAACUACCAUUUCCAAAGAUGAGAACUUUUAACUCAAUUACUCAAUUAAAUCACAUGGAUCGUAAUAAGAAAAUAUUAAAAAACCUAGAAUACCAUUGCCAAUUUAAUCCAAUAACCUAAUCAACUAACAUGCAUAAUAACAAGAGAAUCUAAAAUACCUAUGAACUACCACUCCCAAAGAUGAAAACUUUUAAUUCAAUAACGCAAUCAACUAACAUGCAUAAUAACAAGAGAAUAAAAUAAAAAAAACCUCCGAACUUCCAUUGCCUAAGAUAAAAAUUUUAAUUCAAUAACUCAAACAACUAACAUGCAUAAUAACAAGAGAAUCAAAAAACCUAAGAACUACCAUUUCUAAAGAUGAAACCUUUAAGAAUAAAAAUAUGAUCAAAACCGAAAGCAAAAACAAAUGAGAAAACUAAUCCUAAAUAUCAAACUUUCAAGAAUCAAUGAUGAAACUUUUAAUAAGAAGCUAUUAUUCAAAUAUCAUGAACUUCAAUGAAGAGAAGAGCAAUCCUAAAUAUCUAGCUAUCAAGAACAAUUAGUAAAACUUUUAACAAUAAAAAUAUAAUCAAGUAUUAAGAACUUAAAUAAUUCAAAGACUAAUUCUAAAUAUUUAACUUUUAAGAAUUAAAGGUGAAACUUUUAACAAUAAGAAUAUAAUAAAAAAUAAUAAAAAUAAAAAAUGAAACAAAUGAGAUGAAUUGAUCCUAAAUUAUUAUCAAGCUAUUUGAAAUGAACUAAAAGAUUUUUCAUGGCUAGAAGGGUUCUAGUCUCAUAUUAAUCUUCCUCAUUCUCAAUAUUAAAUCCAAUGGUUCGAAAGUCAAAACAAACAACAAAAUGAAAUCCAUCAGCAACUAACCUUUUGGGGAUGUAUUUCCAAGCCCGAAGGGGAUCCAACUUCCCAAACUUCUAAUGGUGCUUUCUCUCUAUCUCAAUGCCUGUUGUCUCUCGAUGUUGCAGCCCCCAAUCUCCCUUCUAAAAACGCCUCCUCCGAAAACAUGAACUAGUUUUUUUUCUUUGAAACUUGGACUCUCUACUGAACAAGGACUCGGUUUUCUUUAAAUAGUGACCAAGAUUCCUUUUUAAACAUGGACUCAACUUUCCCAAAAAUACAAACUGAACUUUUUAAACAUGGACCAACCUGUCAAUUCCCAAAAAAAAACAAAGGCUUCCCUUUCUCUCCUUAAAUCCUGUUUUUCUUUCUUUUUUUUUUUUCUUUAAUUAUAAUCUCUCCUUUCUACCUUAAAAAUCACAUUCAUCCUUCCAAAAAGUGUGAUCCAACCUCUAAAAAAUAUCUUCUUUCCUAUGCCGUGAACCACCAAAAUCUUUUUUCCUAUGUCGUGAAUAGGACUCAAUGGCAACUUCAUUCGUUAUGGAGAGUCCUUUCCAUUGGUAGCUUUCCCUGAACAACAUAAAAUAAUUAGACUUAAUAAGUGAAUAAAAAAAUGUUUUAGAAAGUGAUAAAAUAAUAAUAAUAAGAAAAAUAAAAAAGAAUAUAAACAAGAUGGUAAAUAAAAUAAAUAAGUAAUUAAUAAUAAUAAAAAAUGUCAUAUAAGCUAUGUAAGCCAUGCAAGAUAGUAAAUAAAAUAAAUAAGUAAUUAAUAGUAAAAAAAAAUGUCAUGAGAGCGAUGCAAGCCAUGAGACCAAUUAAAAAAAAAAAAAAGUUAAAAGGUAACCUAAGUGGGAUAAGGUGUGCCUAAAUGGGCUUAAAUGUGUUUAAAUGGAUUAGGUGUGUCUAAAUGUGUUUAAGUGUGCUUAGAUGGAUUAGGUGUGUCUAAAUGAGUUAGAGUGUGCAUAAAUGGGCCUAAGUGACCUACAUGGGCCAGAGUAUGCCUAAAUAGGUCAGUGCAUGCCUAGAUGAACAAAGGUGUGUCUAAAUAGGUCAGAACAAGCCUAAAUGGGCUAGAGUGUGUCUAAAUAGGCUAGGGUGUGCCUAAAUGAGCCUAAGUAACCUAAAUGGACCAAAUGUGCCCAAAUGGGUUAGAGUGUGCCCAAAUGGGUUAGAGUGUACCUAAAUGGAUCAGAGUGUGUCUAAAUGGGUUAGGGCAUGCCUAGGUAGGUCAGGAUGUACAUGAAUAUGCCUAAGUAUGUUAUCCUAAAGGUAUACUUGAAGGAGCUAUCCUAAAAAGAAAAAAAAAAUAAUCCUAAAUCUAACUUGAGGUUGCCAAGGAUCACAAUGAGGAGCUAAAUGAGUCUCUCAACCAAAAGCCUCAAAGGUAGCUAAAUAAGGUAAGUUGUAUGAAUAGCAAUAUGUCACUAGGGAAGCUACUGUGGAGUAUUGAAAGAACACCUAAUUGGGCACAUGUUAAAUGAACAAAAUAAAUGAUUUACAUGGUGAUGAACCUAAAUCAAGAUGGGCUCAACAAUGGAGGUUGCUUACUUUCCCAUAACUCUCUCCCACUUAGUCAUUUGAAAUAAAUAAGAGCAUUUUAAAUCAUUAGUAAUUAACUUGAUGAAAAAAUUAUCUACUUUGAAAAUUUUCAAAUUUUUUUUUUCCUAAUUUGAAACCUAGUGUAAUAGGAGAAUGAAUUAUAUUUCUCUUAUGCUAAUCCAAUUAAUAAAUAUUUUAUUUAGGAAACAUUUCAAGUAAAUUUAUUUUUAUCAAAUUACUAAGCCUUUUGGAAAUAACCUUUUAAUAUAAAUAAUCUCUAAUGAAAAUUUUUAUAAUAUUUAUUUUCCAUUAAAUAGUAUGAAAAUCACAACCUUUUAAUAAUUCCUUAAUGGAUAAAAUAUUAUGUAUGAAAAACUUUUAAAAAUGUUUAUCUCCUUAAAAAGGGAUUAAAUAUUAUAUUUUCAAAAGUAUUUUCAAAAUAUUUUAUAUCUCCAUUAAAUUAUUAAAACUUCUAAAAAUACCUUAGCAACCUUUCUCAACGUAAAUUCUCUACAAGAAAAUUUUCAAAUCCAUUAUUUUCCUUUUAAAUUGGGACUCUUGUGUUAAAAAAAUUACUUUCUUAUUUCUUAUAUCUGAACUAACCAAGUAAAAGUAUAAAAGAUAAAUUAUUUUGAGUAUUACUAAAAAAAAAAUAAAUCUAUCACUUUUUAUCUCAAAUUAAGAAACUUUUAACAAUGGUUUAUUUCCCAUACCUUGUGAAAUUUUAGCAUAGCUAAGUAAAUAUAUGGGGCAAACUUGAAGUUUUGCAACCUCAAAGAACAAUAUUUCAAAGGCAGUUAAAUGGAAAAAUUUAACCACAAACACUAAAAUUUCUUCCUUAAUUCAUAUUUCAAGUUCUAAAUUUUGUUGGUUGAUCCUUGUUAUUACAUUUAAACUAUGAUUAGCUGUUGGGGCAUGACAUACGGUCUUUCCAUGAAUGUUUUCUAUUGGUUUGUAUUUUCAUUACGACAGACUAUAUAAUUAAAAUUAAAUAAAAUUAUAUAUUUUAAAUUUAUUUAAUUUUUAUUUUAAAAUAGAGUAAUUCAUUAAUGGAGUUUAAAAAAAUAUAUAAAAAUAAUUUAUUAAUUUUAAAUUUAUUUUUUAUUUUUAUUCUUUUAUAUCUAAUUUCUUUUUCUUAUAUUUGUCCAAUUUUCCAGUACUCAAAGUUGGGAAAGUAAAAGGGAGAAGGCUGGGAAAGUGUGGGGUGUGGGGUGUAGAAGCAAACCCCUACGUUUCCAAUUUCAAAAUCCACCGCGAAGCGGGAAAAGAACAUUAAUCUAUAAUGAUGAUUGUUUCUGAUGAAAAUUUAGAGAAAGGGUAGCUUAGUAAACAGCGAAAGGGAAAGGCAAAAGAAAUUGGAUAGGAAGAAAAAGGUUUGAAAAUGGCGGAGAAGAAGAAAGCAAUGAGUCUGAACGAGCGUCACAACCGUCUCCUCCAAGACCUAUCUGCUCAGGCAUCAAAGCACAAGCCAGAACAACAACCCUCCGCUCAAAACCACGCCCUUCUUUCAUUCUCAACCAUCUCUGAAUUUCAUUCUCCUCCAGGUCUCUCUCUAUCUACUUUACCUUUUCCCACCAUUUUUACCCCAAAAUCUAAGUCGAUGUCUAUAUCUCUUCCGCUUGAUUUUCUCUCUCAUUUCAAUUUUCCUGGAAAAUGAAAAUUAAAUCAAUCGCUAUCUUUUUUUUUCUACUGCUUCUUGUUGUGUCUCAUUUUCUGGAAAACCUAAAUUAAUCUCCGUUUUUUAAUUUUUUAAUUUUAUUUUAUUGUACUAAUUGAAAUAAUGGAUGGUGGAUUAGACGAAGCAAAAGAAGAAGAAAAGCCAGUCAAAGUAAAGCUCCAAGGUAGACGCCGACUCUGCAAACUUUCAUCGAAUGACGAUGAUGAAAAUACCAAAACUGGAGAUGGAUUUUACGAACCGAAAUUUUCUGAAAUUUCCGAUUUCGAUUCGCCUCAUCAUUGCAGCAAUGCUGGUGGAAAUGAAAUUAGGGGUAUUCUCAAUGACUUGAGCUCGAGGCUUGAAUCUCUGUCCAUAGAAACAAAGAGAAAUCCUAAAAGGGCUGAUCAGACUCGGGAAUCUUUAAAUUUUGCUGCUGCUGAUGUGGCUAUCAAUCAAGAAAAGAAACUUGAUGUGCCCGAGUAUGCAAGCGCAUCUUCCUCAUUUUCUGUUACUUCUGAUGGGGCUGAUUCUUCGCCAGAUGCAGCCUGGGUUGGAGAUGGUGUUGACAAUGUAGUGGAUGAUCAUGAAGCGGGGAGUGAGGUUGGAAGCGUGCAUGAUGUUGAUAACUUCAUCAGUAGGGUACAUGGAAAUAGGCACAACGGUGAAGCGGCAAACUCCAGAAGGGUGAAUGUGAACUCUGUGCCUAUGGGGCAAUCUUCCGUUUGUGAUUUCGAAGAAGAAGAAGAAGAUGGUAAUAGCGAUGAUUGUGUAAUUUUGAGUGGCAAAAAAGUUGUUGAAGCAGCGGUCAGCCGAGGGAGCAAGUUUAAGGAAGAGUAUGAUGAUUCAGAUGUGGUUGAUGUAUUGGAUGAUUGUACUGAUGGUUCCGUUUUGGAGGAUGAGAGUGCCAUCACUUUGAGUGGUCCUAGAUCUACCUAUAAGUUGCCUGGUAAAAUUGCAAAAAUGUUAUAUCCACAUCAACGUGAUGGGUUGAAGUGGCUAUGGUCUCUACAUUGUCAGGGUAAGGGCGGGAUCUUAGGUGAUGACAUGGGUCUAGGAAAAACAAUGCAGGUAGACGGUUGACUAUAUUUUUUUGUUUUUUUUUUUCUUAUGUGUUUUACUGAUGUUUGUUGUCAUGGUCAAUUGGUUUUGACUUGUACUUUUUGCAGAUUUGUGGGUUUUUAGCUGGAUUAUUUCAUUCCUGUUUGCUUCGGAGGGCAGUGGUUGUGGCCCCCAAAACAUUACUGUCUCAUUGGAUCAAGGAGUUAUCAGCUGUGGGGCUUUCUGAGAAGACAAGAGAGUGAGGCUGUUUUGUUUUGGAUCUUUGGAUCAUUCCGAUAGAGCAUUACACCUAUUAUUUUUGUAUGAUUACAGACAUUGCUUGUCCUGCCAUGCAGAUACUAUGGGACUUGUACAAAAACACGGCAAUAUGAACUGCAGUAUGUACUUCAGGUUGUAUAAAUUUGUGUUACUGCUUAUUCUAUGAAACUCUGAAUAAUCCAAAACUAUUGUGCAUGGUACUGCCAGACAUAUGAUGAAAUAAAGUGCUUACUGUGUUUAUGUCUGUGUCCAGACAUUUUUUUUGAUUGAACUUCGAUUGAUGUGGACACUGGAAUUGAAUCAAUUCAUGGAAGUUUAAAAUUAAAAGACCUAAAUUUGACUCUAUAGGGUGUUAAAUUGAUUCAAAUUUGGAUUUGGAUUCAACUUCUGACACAUUGGAGAUUGAAUUGAUUUAGUGGAGUUCUUUGUGAGUUUGAAACCAUAACAUGCAUCCCAUAUUACAUGCCAAUUGCAUCCUAUAUUCCACAUCAUGUUAAAAUUCUGUAUUUGCCAUUUCUUGUCUCCCUUGUAGGAUAAAGGGGUGCUUCUCACAACUUAUGAUAUUGUGCGGAACAAUUCAAAAUCGUUAUGUGGGGGCAACUACUUUCAUGAUAAGAGAAGUGAGGAUGAUUUCACCUGGGAUUAUAUGAUACUUGAUGAGGUAGAUUUAGUAUUUUAUUUGUGGUUCAAUUAUUCAAAUACUUUGAUUUACUUUAUACAAUGUUAGCACUUUUCUAGAGUUUGGCAUUCUUUUGAACCUAAGGAUCCUCUCAUUUUCCCCUUUUCACCCAUAUUUAUAGGAUUGUUAAACAUGUUAUAUCAUAUGGUUGUUAUACCCAUCUUCUUCUUGUUAUUUUUGUGCGUAUAUGUUGAUUUAUAUGAUUUUUUUUUUUGCUUUUUACAAUAUGCAUUUGGUCUAUGGUUUCUUGGUUGGUACAACUCAAGGUUAAAUUUUUGAGGAAUAACAUUGGUCGGUUGAGUUUUGGAUUUAUAUCAUGAGUUUAUUGGGUUGGAGCUGUUUAAGUAAUAUGGAUUAGGAAAUAAAGGUAUACAUGCAUCUAUAUUUUGAUAUAUUUGAUUUCCUUAGUUCCUUCCAAACGUGUGUGUACUUUUCAUGAAUUAUUGGGUUAGAGCCUUCAAGUUAUUAGAAUUAGGAAAUAAACCUUUACAUGUCUAAAUUUGAUGUAUUUGGUUUCUUUAGAUCCUUUCAAUUGUGUGUAAGGUGCUACUAGGUUCUUCCAUCACAUAAAACUUAUGAACUUUUGGAAAUAAAAUCAGCUUUGUGUUGGACUAGGGCAGUAAUGGUUUUUGAGAUGAUUAAUUCUUUUUGAAUUUUGAUUUUGAGUCAUUGUAAAGUAGUCAAAAUUCCAUAAAGUUUUAAGCUUAUUUUUUUUAAACAAAAAUCCUUUUCUAGGAGUAGACUUUAAGUAUCUAAGAAUCCCUUGAACAACAUCCAUGUGGCAUUCCCUUGGUGAAUGCAUAAAUUAGCUCACCACACUUACUGCAUAUGCUAUAUUGGGUCUAGUAUGCGACAAAUAAAUCAACUUUCCCACUAGCCUCUUGUAUUUCUCUUUAUCAACUAGACUUUCAUCAAGACCAGAUCCUAAUUUAUGAUUAGGAUCAAUGGGAGUAUUUGCAGGUUUACAACCUAUUGUCCAAGCCUCUUUAAGCAAAUCCAACACAUAUUUCCUUUGAGAGAUGGCUAUACCAUGUUUUGAUCUUGCUACCUUAAUUCUAAGAAAAUAUCUCAAAUUUCCCAAGUCCUUUAUUGUAAGCUCCUUUGCUAGAAGAUCUUUCACAGUUUUAAUUUGUUCUACAUUAUCACAUGUAACAAUGAUAUCAUCUAUAUAGACAAUAAGACUAGUGAUUUUCUUGAGUGUUGAGUGUUGAGUGUUUAAUGAAUAAAGUAUGAUCCCCUUGACUUUGACUAAAGCCAUAUGUUUUCAAGAAUUUUGCGAAUCUCUCAAACUAUGCUCUAGGUGAUUGUUUGAGCUCAUAUAAAGACUUCUUUAACUUACACACCUUAUCAUUAGACAAAUUCUCAAAUCCUGAUGGAAGGUCCAUGUAUAUUUCUUUCUUUAAAUUCUCAUGCAAAAAAGCAUUUUUCACAUCAAAUUGGUGAAGAGACUAAUCUAGAUUAACAACUAGAGAUAAAUGGAUUCUAAUAGAAUUCAUUUUUUCCAUAGGAGCGAAAGUCUCUUGAUAGUCAAUUCCAAGAGUUUGUGUAUAACCUUUAGCUACCAUUCUAGCUUUGUGCCUCUCUAUUGAACCAUAUGCCUUGUAUUUAAUGGUAAAUACCCAUUUGAAGCCAACUGUUUUUUUUUUUUCCACUCGGCAACUCUAUCACUUCCCAAGUCCCAUUCUUAUGUAAGGUUCUCAUCUCCUCAAAUAUAGCUUCCCUCCAUUUAGGGUCUUUUAGAGCUUCUUGUAUAUUGUUGGGGAUAGAUUCUGUGAUCAAAUUAGUGGUGAAGGCUUUGUAGCUAGGACUAAGUUGAUGAUAAAAUACAAAAUUAGACAAAGGGUGUUUAGUACAACCCCUUUCCUAAUUGCAAUUGGAAUAUCUAAGUUAGAUUCAAAGAAAGAACUUGAAGGAGGCAAGGGAUGUGCAGUACCUGUUUCUGGAGUUGAAGAUUGACUGUGAGAGAGAGAGAUAGUAUCUAUCACGUUAUCUUGUUUCCUUCUAGAGUACACCAAUGGUGUCUCUCUAGUUUCAAUGUUAUUCUCCCCCACUGUCAUUUUUUUUUCCAGUUUUUGGAUAUAAUGAGCCAGACCCUAAGGUUGACUCAAGUUGUUGUUGUUGCUGCUGCCCAUUUUCAUUUCCUUCAUUUUGUUGCUAUUCCAACUCAUUGCUGGCUUAUCUUUGGUUGUUGGGUUGGUCAAAUUUGAGAAGGGAAAGGUCAUUUAUAGUUGGAUAUACAAAUGAAGAGGGUUGACACAAGGAAUAGGGCAAAUCUUCAACUCUAAUUUUCUCCCCUUGAAGAUCCGUCCUAGGAUAGUAUGAGAGAUCUUCAAAAAAUUUGACAUCCACAGUCAUCAUUUUGUUUUUGUUGGAUGGAAACACUUGUACCCUUUUUGUGUGGGAGAGUAGCCUAAGAAUGUACAUUUAAGAGCUCUAGGAUCAAGUUCAGACCUUUCCCUACUAUGAAUAUGAACAAAGGCAACAAACCCAAAUAUUUUAAGAGGAAGAUAAUCAAAGACAUUAACACUUAGAAAAUGACAUUUAAGAACAUCAAUAGGAUUUUUCAUAUCUAUGGCUUUGGAUGGUGUACGAUUAAUAAGAUUGGUAGCAGUUAGCACAACAUUAGUGAAGUAAAUUUUGGGUACAUUUCUUGUGAACAUCAAAGCUCUAGCUACCUCAAGUAGAUGCUUAUUUUUCCUCUCAACCACUCCAUUUUGCUAGGGUAUUUCAUUCCAAGAAGAAUGAUGCAAAAUCCCAUUUUCAAGAAGAUAUGAACCUCGAAUGGUAUUGAAAUACUCUUUGCCAUACCUAUGAUGUAGUAGCCAAAUUUCCUUUUCUUUAUUAUCAACAAUCUUUGAAAGAUGAACCUAUGUGGUUUUCUUGGCUUUGGGAGUCAAGUCAUAAAACCCUUCUCUCUCUUCAGCACUGCCAAUCUUCUUCCUCGUAGCUAGGUCUUGAAAAAUGCAAUGAACAUGACAAUUAAGGGACUUGGUCACCUUGCUAAUGGACAAUAAAUUGCAAGCAAUUUUAGGUACAUGAAGAACAAAGUUUAAAUGCAAUGAAGGAGAAACAGAAACUGAACCUUUGCCAUUAAUGUGGAUAGAAGAUCCAUUUGCAAUAGUGACUUUACCUUUUUCUAGGCAUGGAUUGUAGGUUAGAAAAUGAUGUGCUUCAUUAGUCAUGUGAUUUGAAGCCCCUAAAUCAAUGAUCUAGGGUUUAGAUGGAGAUUUUUCAAGAAUAUUCAGGGUUGCAUGGAUAUUACCUGAUUAUGCAGAGAGAGGAUGAGUUGGUGGAAUUCCCAACAUGUCCCAUCAUCUUAUACAAGAGCUCUAAUUGAUCCUUAGUGAAAGGAGCCUUCUCCAAGGAUUGAGUAGCACUUUUUGGUCUGAAUUCACAAUAACAACACUCUAAUAAGCCUUUUGUUUCCUUUAUUACCAAUUGAUGGCUUUCCAUUCAACUUCCAACAUGUUUUUUUCGUGUGUCUUGGUUUAUGGCAAUAAUCACACUAUCUAUUAUCUUUUUCUCUAAACCUUUUUUGCCAUGGCCCAUAGGACCAAUAUGGGUAUUGUCCUGAGCAACUUUAAGGGUAGAAUUCUCUUGAGAACCUGGUACUAACACGUCACUUCUCCUACUUUCUUCACUAUGUACAUAAGAAUAAACUUCACUUAAGCAUGGAAGGGGUUCUUUUCCAAGUACUCUACUUCUUACCUCAUCCAAUUCAGGCUUAAGACCAGCAAGAAAGUCAAAGACUCGAUCUUGUUGAAAGAGCUUAACCAACAUUGAUGCAUCUGCUGUAGAUUCCAUCUCAAAGUGUUGAUGAAGAUCCAACUCUUGCCACAAGAUUUUCAGGGUGUUGUGGUAGGUUGUUACAGUGAGAUUUUUUUGCUUUGUGUUGUGAAUCAUAGUCUUUAACUCAUAAAUCCGAGUAGUGUUUCCUUUCUUUGAAUAGGUUUGCUAGACAUCAUCCCAAACUUCUUUGGCUGAGGAGAGAUAUAAGAAUGGUUUUCCAAUUUUUGGUAACAUAGAAUUCAAAAACUAUAACAUAAUCAUGGAAUUCUUAGCUUCCUAUGGUUCAUAAGAUAAAUUAGACUUCUUUGGAUCCUUAAUGGUACUUUGUAAAUAUUUUAUCUUUCCUUGUGAGAAAAAGUUUUGUUGAUUGGGACAACUCAAAGAAAUUUUCUCCGUUCAAUUUUUUUGUUGCAAUCUCCAAUGUCGGAUUGUCUAGAUUGGCGAUAGCUUUAGUUUGAGAUGAAGAGACAUCAGUAAGGGUAUUUUCAAGGAUUUUUGACAUGGUCAAGGUAGAUAAUAGACAAAAAAGAUAUGAAAAACAUGUAGCAACGAAGGCUAAAAACAAAAAGUUUAAUCUUGGCAAUGAGAGCCAAGAAAAAAGAUUUUUUUCUUCAAAGAGAGAAUUAUCAAUCUUUUAGGUUUUGAUUCCAUGAAAAUGAAAAUAAAAUUUAUGAAAUUAUUUGUAUUCUAAAAUAUAAAGAGAUUAUAAGGAAAUAUAUAAACAAGUUGUACAAAAAAAGUUAGGAAACUAAAUCAAAUCCUAAAAAUAUACCAUCCCUAAAAUUACUCUAAAAUCUAAAACUUGCCUAAAGUACAUAAUAUAAUAAAUAAAUAAAAAAUAAAAUAAAAUCUACAAAAUCAACCACAUAUUCUAACUGGAACAUAUUUAAAUAUAAGAAAAAUAAAAGAAGUUUUAGCAAAAGUUGUUAACAUGACCAAGUUGUAGCUCCAAUGGGAUGGUUUAAACUAGAGAGAUUGUUUGUUUUUACAUUGUAGAUUCUUGUUUUUGUAUUCUUGUAGUUUAGCUUUUCUUUGGUGGGAGGAUUCCUCAUCCUUCUCUUGUACUUCUUUUUUCUAUCAAUAUAUCUAUUUGUUGUUUUCUAUCAAAAAAAAAAAAAAAAAGACCAAGUUGUAAGAUAAGAAUGAUUAGCCUAUUAUAAAAUUCAAAUAAGAUUAUCCAAAUGGUGCAACAUUGCAGAUGGUCCUAUUUGAAAGCCAUAAAAAAUGACUUCUUAAUGUUCCAUUUCUUUUGGGCAUUUUUACUUCUCCCUUAGGUUUCUCUAUUUUUGUUGUUUGGUGCUCAUGCAUGCCAUCCAAGGUUGGUUUUUGCAUGGAAGUGGUUUGAAAAAAGAUUUAUCCUCAGAAUAGUUGGGAUGUAGUGGUUCCAAUUUUAUGAAUUAUACAGGAAGGUGGGGUUAUCUUGUAUUCUACCUUGGUUUACUAAGUGUUCUUUGUUGUUGUAGUGAGGUAGUUAGAGAAGGAAAGUUCGAAAAAAUGUUUAGUUUUUGGUUUUUUUACUUGUUUGUUUUCUUUUUCUUUUUUUGGGUUUUUUUAGUGUAUUUUGAAGGAGAGAAAUCAAAGUCUUUCAAGAAGUGAUUAAGUUCUCCAUGGUGCAACACUAUGAUUUUUCCUAAGGUCUUAAAGCUUUUUUAGGAUAGCUUCCUAUUUUUGGCUUUAGUUGGAAAUUGAAACUGAGACUAAAAUCAUAAUUUUUAAAGGGUAAUAUUGGUAUUGUAAAUGUUUUAUUUAACAUAAAAGAACUUCUUUCAUAAAUCAAAUUGAAGCUUUUACAAGAAGCAACAUUUUCCCUAAUUUCCAUAUUAAAUUUCUUUUUAAAGCCAUAAGCUCUUUGAACAAAAUUAGCCAAACAAGCAUAAAAGCUCUUAUUGAGCUUAAAAAAAAGAGUUGUUGACUUCUCGAAAGUUAAUCCAAAUAGGGCCUUAGUUCAUUUAGAUUGUGGUUACUAUUUGUAAAGAAGAAUUCUAUUCUUGAUUAUGUGGAUGUAGGUUGGUUUUGUUGCAUUUUUUUCUUUAUUUUAUCUUCUUGUUAGCUUAUUUGGUUGGUUGGAUUAGUCUCAUUUGCCAUUUUGAGAUGCAUGUACAUUACCCAUUGAAAAAGAGAAAAGAAGGAUCAUCCAUAUGAGGCUCAUGCUCAGAAGUGCAGAAUAGAUGCCAUUAACAGAUAUUGGCUUAUGAAGGGUACUCCUAGAAGACUACAAAUUAUCCAAGCUAGAAUGCAUUUUGUAUAACUACUUGCCUAAGACAAGUUUGAUACAUCUUUUAGCUCCUUAAUGUCUAAGUCUUCUAGUGUUUAGUAUUGUAAUUUUUUAGUUCGGCUAAACAAACAACCCUCCCUUAGUUUUACAUUGAAGUUAUGCUUAGUAAAAUAUUAUUUGCCUUCCUUUUUUCUGAAAGUGUAAACUGAUGAUUAAGUUGAAGUACUAAUUCCUCUUUAACAUCAUUAGAUGUCUAACACUCUGAACUUCAAGUAAUCAUUGCUUUGGUCUAUUAGAAGCUUUUGCAAUGUAUGUAGUCUUGAAAUGCUCCCAAAAACCUUCAAAAUUAGCUUAAGGUUUUGUAAAUCUUCCAUGUUGGCCUUUGAAAAGAAGAUGGUGUCAUCUGCAAACCGCAAGUGUGACACCUUAGUUCUGCUUCUCCCUACUAGGAGCCCUUCUAAAAGACUACUCUCCUUUGCUCUCAACAUCAACCUACUUAAGAUAUCAACUAUAACAAUGAAGAGAAAAAGUGGAUAGAGGAUUUCCUUGUCUAAGACCUUUCUUUGUUUUAAUUUAUCCUUUGACACUACCAUUCACUAAGACUACAAAAUUUAUUGAAGAUAGGCAUCCUCUCAUCAACUUAUUCACAUUCACCACCUAGUACUAAACCCUUUCCUUUCUAGAGCUUGAUAAAAAAAAUCCUAGUCCAUAUGAUCAUAAGCCUUUCCAAGAUCAAUCUUAAAAACCACUCUCUCUUCUCUCGGUUGUCUCUUUUCAUCCACCUUUUUGUUGGAGCAAAGCUUUAGUUUAUAAAGAGUAGACUAUCUUCCAAUGUAUAUUUCCCAUGACAAUAUGUUAAGGUAUAGGCCUUGUUUUGUAUUUUGGAAAAUUUAUCUACUUGCUCUGUUUGACCAGAUUUUUGUAUACUUGGGAAGGAUUCCUCAUUCUUCACAUGCAUUUUCAAUUCUUUAUCAAUGAAUUGUAAGAAAGAUAGAUCAAACCAAAUGGUACAAAACCUAUUCUUCCAUGGUUUUGUUUUUCUCUAUUUUAUGCUUCUUGAAAAAUUAUGUUGAAAAAAAACAGCUUUUAAAAGUCAUUAUCUUUUUAAGGUAAGACUCAAAGAGUGUUAUAUUUUAUAUUAAAGUUCCUAUCAUUUUUUGUUUUUAAAAACAAAAAAUAAGAAGUGUAUCCAAAUGAGCGUACCAAAUGCUUUCCUUUUUUCUUGCAAUUUAAGUAUAUGCAUGUAUGUAUAUAGACACGUAUACAUAGGUAUGUGUGUGUGUAUAUAUAUAUAUAUGUAUGUUUUACAAACAAGAAAUCGAAAUAGCAGUGCAAGCAAAUGAGCUUUAGUUAUUUUGUGUUGUCAUCAUUACACCAUUUUAUUCAUGCUUGCUUUUUUCAAAUAAAUAAAUGUACUAAAUUGCUUAAAUGGACAACAUUUAAUAAGUUUUAGUUUCUAUUCUAUUUUGCACAUUUUCAUUUUAUACAAAAUCUUGCUUUACUUGUACAUAAGGGAAACUUUAUUUUGUAAAUAUUUACUUUUUAAUCCAUUUAUCUAUUUUUAUUUGUAGGGACAUCUCAUAAAGAAUCCCAGUACACAAAGGGCUAAAAGUUUGAUGGAAAUACCUUGUGCUCAUCGUAUUGUUGUUAGUGGCACACCAAUACAAAACAAUCUUAAGGUAAUGUCUUCACUAGUUAUAAUGUGUACAUAUACAUUUUUUUUUGCACUUCAGUUUAGUAAUAGAUUCUAUGAUGUUAGAGCAUAAGAAGAUAACUUUACAUAUCUAAUGUUGUAUACUUAUUUUUGGUUGUGGUUAUUAUAACAUAGGAAUUAUGGGCGUUAUUUAGCUUUUGUUGCCCCGAGCUUUUGGGUGACAAGAAUUGGUAAUUAUAUUUAUAAUUAUCUUGCUUUUACUGUUUUUUUUUUUUCUCAAUUUUGUGCUUCUUGGGAGAUAAAGCUUUGGAAUUUUUUUUUUCCUAGGUUUAAGGUCAAAUAUGAGUCUCCCAUUCUUCGUGGAAAUGACAAAAAUGCUUCUGAUAGGGAAAAACAUAUUAGUUCAAGAGUUGCAAAGGUAAUGCUUUCUUGUACAUUUAAAUGUGCUUUAUGUUUUGUGAUUUAGAAGUUUAUUUUUUCCUUUUAUUUCUCUUUGGAUAUAUCGUUUAUAUUGUUCAUACUUUUGAGUCUUUCUAUUUUCUUUUUUAGUUAGUUGAAAUGCAAUAGUAAAGAUUCUAUGAGAAAUAAGCAUAUUUUUUAGCAUAUGUGAUUAUUGUAGUUCUUUUUCAGUCAAUCACUUAAUCAAACUUGAGCAACAUAUCUUAGAGGAUGCUCCAUAUUCAUGUUUUUGUUUUGCUCAUAAUACAACAAACAUAAAGCCAACCAGUAAUUACCAUAAUAGGUAGUAGGGGCUAAUAGAAUUUAGGGUAGCCAUGGAGAAAAGGUUUCAAAAUUGUCAACACCAAAUGUUUGAAAGUACACUUCUAUUGUUAGAUGAGCUUUCAACCUCUCAAUUAUGCCAUUAGAAUGACAUAGUUGCAUGCACCUAAUGACAGCUAACCUAUUUUCCUAGAUGUAUAUGGUUUAAUUCUAGGUAGCAUUCCUGUGCCAUGUGGUAAUUUCCUUAUCCAUUGCAUUUCCCAAACUCAUGAUAAGACAAAAGCUGAAGAAUGGAAAUACUAAACAAAUGGUAAUGACAAGAGAAAAAGAGGAUGUUGAGCAUAUGGUUUAAUGCUUUAAUGAAGAAUUACAAGUGGAUGAUUGAUGAAGCACUAAUACUACUUAUGUGAAAGAUAUCUUGAGGUCUCCUUUGAUAUACUUAAAGUGGUUCCAAUGUUGAUGUUAUUGAACAAAUAGUGGAAAUAUUUAACGAAUUAACAAGGACGAGCAUUGUAUAAGUGAUUGAGAAGCUAGCAUAGAACUUUUUUUUAUUAUGAUGUUAACAUCUAAUGAGUGACCUUGAGAAGAAAAGAAUGAUGCUCUUUUAAAGAAAAUGAAACAGAACUCACAAAAUAGCAACAUUGUGGAGGAUCCCAACAUUUUUGACCCUUUUGUUUUCAAGAAUAACGCAAAAAAAAAAAAAAAAAAAAAAAAAAAAGAAAAAAAAAAAAGAAGAAAAAAAAGAGCUAAAUGGCUUAAGGAUUUGGUUUGAAAUGUAUAGUAUGGGAUUUUGCGGAAAACAAUCACAUCCUUAAAUAAGAGGAGGCAACUUAAAUAAAGGUUUGUGAAAGUAAAGCAUUGUAAGGAGUACGCCUUUUUAAAAUCGAGAUGACCUAUGUUUAAUCAAAAGUAACAUCUUAGUAGGGUGUUAUCCACUAGGAUUCUCUAGGAAUAUUCGUAUAUAAUAUUAAAGUUCUAAUAUUUAUUAGAAUUUUAAAAGGAACCUUAGUUUGCUUUGAUUUGCCUCUUUAAUGGCCCAAUUUAUACUUUUAGUUUUGGGAGCUCCACCACUUGACUUUGUGUCAAUUUCUUUAUGGGGUUUUGGUUUAGUUAGGUUAGGUUUUGUUUGUUUGCUUCCUCUCUUUUUUAUUUCCCUUUCAAUCGGUUCAUCUUUCCUAUCCACCUAUCAAAUGUUUGUUUUGUUUUGUUCUAAUAAUCUAUAUGGGUAAUAUGCUUAUAAUUUUUAUCUGAACUUCUAUCAUCUUACCUAAACAUUCUUAUAAAAAUUCAUUUUUAACUAACUCUUCUUUUUCUUUAAUGUAAUUGUUGCUAAGAGAGUUGAAAGAAUAAAAGGAUAUCAAUAAAAAAAAUCAAACAGCCACACCCAAAGUAAAAUAAGAGUGUCUAACAAGGAUCCCAUACCCACAUCCAGGUCAUAUCUUGUUUGACACACGUACGGUGGAUGAAAUUGAAGAAUUUGAGUAUCAUAAGCCUCAUAAAUGGUUUUCUAGGCCUAAAUUACUUUCAUUUUCUUUUGUUAGUCAACCAAUUUUCCUAAAAGCUUAAGUUUGUAGGAUUUGGGCCCACAAUGUAUAUCAUGUAUUCUAACCCCCUUCCUCACAUGUAGCCUCCUUUGGGCUUACACCUAAGGUUUAAUAAAUUGAGGAAAUAAAGUGUCUUUUAGAUUUAAUAAAUUGAGGAAAUAAACAUAUGGUAAGGUUUGAUACAUGACCAACCACCAAAUGAGACUUAGAUAUCAUUCUAGACAACCAAUUUACCUAAAAAAUUAAACUUGUAGGAUUUGAGCUUAUAGUGUAUAUCAUGCACUUUAACAUCUUUCAAAUAGUAGACUAAUUAGUUCAUGCUUUAAAUCUUGACCUUUUGCUUCUAAAGCAUUGGGAGCUAGAUUAUUUGAACUAUAAGGUGGUUCAAUACCUUUUCUUGCUAUCUUUUGAAUUACUCUUCGUCCUCUAGUUUUAAUUAAAGUACACCUAACAUCCAUGUAUUCUUUAGUGAUCCUAUAAUGCUUACUCGAGGUCUCUUUGAAGAUUGUAUAUUGUAGCAUUCCAAUCUCGUGUAAAAUUGAAAACAAAAUCACCUCAAACAUUCAUGAUAUCAAUUAUUAAAAUGAUCUUGAUCCUUAACUGACCUUCACCAAACUUGAAUGCAAAUAUGAGAAUAUCAUUGUAAUUGAUCUUACCUUAAAUUGCUCAAAUUGUAAGCUAAUGCUUACAAUGUAAAUAGUCAUGGAAUUGCCAACAUAUAAUCCAUGUGAUUGCAUUUUCCUUUUUUCACAAUUUUAUGACAACAUAUAUCAUGAAAUGAUUUACAAGGACAAAUGCAAUUUUUUUUGUUCUCCUCAUUAAAAGCCUUUUUAGGAUCCACUCUAUCGUUCACAUUUGAUGGAUUUAAUUGAUUUAAAAUCAAACCCUUUAGCACUAAGUUUUCUAACACCAUAAUCUAUAAACAAAUGCUUAAAAGAAGCAUCAUGCUUUCUUUAUAUUGGUCUCCUUGAAUCUUGUAAUCGUUUAAAAUUCCUUCAAAGUAUGCUCUUCUUGAACCUAGUUAAAUGAUGGAGUAGGGCUUUGGAAGUUGCUUUUCUUGUCUAUACAAUAUAGUGUUAGCCAUAGUCAAGGAUGAUGUCAACAAUUUAUAACUAUGACAUCUUCUAGAGUUUGAUACAAUGUUUUAUAAGGCUAAAGGUCGUCUUGCCCAAAUGAGGCGAAGCGUAAGCCUCGAGGUGGAACAAGAUGUAAGUCUCAACUUUAAUAAUAAUAAAAAGAAAACGAUCUUAAAAAUUAGAAAAAUACUAAUGAAAUCACAUGAAAAUUAAAUAAUAAGAAACCAUAUAAUGUAUAAUAAUCAAAUUAAUUGUAUGUCGUUUUUAGUAACUUCUAAUUUAGUGUUUUUUUUUUGUCUCUUCUAAAAUCCAACUCUAAUGCAUUUAUCAAAUAAUCUUCAAAACUCCCAUCACUCCAUCAUUAUCACUAGUAAGAUCCUUUAAUGAAUCAUAAUUAUAUCUAAUUGCUCUAUUAUCCUCUCCAUCAGUGUUAAUAUCAAUCCAUUUUUCUUCUUUAUCCAUUAAUUACAAUGAUCUUUCUUCUUUUAUCCAUUAAUAAUGAAAUAAUGAUUAUAUAUAAGCUCGGUCACUAUAGUGGCCAACAAUUCUUUUAUUUUUUCUUCUCAAUCUCUUCCUUUCAUUUUCAAUUAAAGGAUUAAUUGGUAGUCAACUAAGCACUUAUUUUUUAAAAGGUUUAACUUUAAUCUUGGAUGCAGGACAAAACUUAUAAAUAUAUACCAAAACUUCUUAAAAGCACUAGUUACUACAACCAAUAAAUAUUGAGGCUCAAACCCCUUAACAAAUGUAUAUAAAAAGUUGAUGAAGGCUGUGAACCCAUUAAAAUCUUUUGAAUAUUUGAGGCUUAAUGUCACAGGAUGCUUCAACUGAGCCUCCUCCUGGGUUUAUAUAGAGCCCAAGAAGCUUUCGGAGACUCUUGGAGUCAUCUACACUAAGGCAUUGGAGGGAAGAGUGUGGAAGGUUCUAGAGAUGUCUACACAUCUCUACACUAUGGUGGAAGGCAUGAGAUGAGUCCAAGGCUUUCUAGAGAAUUCUAGAGAUCUCUUGUACAUAGGGUUGUACAUAGAAUUGUGUAGGGUAUUGUAGAAUCUUCUUGAUUUGUAAGGAACCCUUCAAGGUUCCAGAGAGUUCCAUUGGUGCCUAGAAAUAGGUGAGGGCCUCAUUUGGCCAAGACACCACCCGAGAACCUAACCAACCAAGCAAGUGAGUCCUCAAAGCACUUGUAAAAGCUUCCUUGAGUAAUAAGAACUUCUAUUCUUUAAGAGUUGCCUACUACGCCUUCUACAACUUCCGAGUGGCAAGCGUCUUAGCCUAGCAAGCUAAGCAUUGGGAGUAAGGCUGACUUAGCAAGAUCAAGCGUCUUGACUUGUCUAAGUGCCGCACGAGCUUAGUAAACGACUAAGUUCGUGACAUUAAGCAUUAAUAAUCCCAAGGUUACAACCACAAGCUAUAAGCCUUAAUCAGGUGAGACUUAAGCAUCGAUUACACUUUAUUGAGGCUAUUGCCUCAAGGCUAAUUUGCAUAGCUUGCCUUAGUAGCCUUUUAAAACAUUGGUUUCAUAUAACUCACCUAAUUCCUAAUAAUGCUCGGUAAAAGUGAAAAAAAUUUAGGAGGGGAAAAGAAAUAGAAGAGAAACAAGAAAAAGGAAAAAAAGAAAAAAAGGAAAUGGAGUGGAGUUGAGAUUUAGGUUUGUUCAGAUUAGCAUCUAAGAAGCCAAAAACAUUUUCUUAAUCUCAAUAAGAGUUUCUAUACUUGUUUGGAUAAUUUUGUUAAAAGAGUUUAUGAAUUAAAAGAUACAUUAAUAUGGAAGCAAAUAGAAGUUCUAGUUUGGUUUGUGUAUUACCUUGUAGCUAAAACAAAACUAAAUACUAUCCCAAAUGACGCCUUAUAUUAAUUUGCAUUGAUACUAUGUUAAUGUAUUGAGAAUAGAGAAGGAAGAGAAAGUGAGAAUGAAAAGGUUAAAAGGAGAAAAAACAGUAUGUCCAGGGUUGACUUGUGAUCUAAUUCAUAUCAAUAUAUUUUUUGACAUUAUGCUAAAACCUUAAUAUUGGUAACCAUUAAAUUGGCAUUCUAGCAAUUCAUUACAAAACCGAUUACUAAAACCAAUGGCUUACUAGUUUAAAUCCAUCCUUGGUGAGUUACCAUGUCCUUUUGAUUUCUUUCUUGUAGCCAUUACUCUAAUUCAUGCAAUUGUGUUUACUAAGACCAACAUUCAUCACCACUUGUCUUGAGCUCAAAGAUGAACAUAUCGGUUUAUAUAUAUAUAUAUAUAUAUAAAUAUCAGUGAUUGAAUUUUAUUGAUAUAUCGGGAAAUAUUGAUGAAAAUUUUGACAUAAAAUAUUGGUGGGAUGGAAAUUGAUUAGAACUCAUAGAUCUUGGGAAAAUUUAAAAAAAAAAAUAUUGGUAAAACCAACAUUCAUCACCACCUGUCUUGAGCUCAAAGAUGAAAAUAUCAGUUUUUAUAGAUAUAUAUCAGUAAUUGAAUUUUACGGAUAUAUCGGGAAAUAUUGAUGGAAAUUUUGACAAAAAAUAGUGGUGGGAUGGAAAUUGAUUAGAACUCGUGGAUGUUGGGAAAAUUAAAAAAAAAAUGAUAAAAGAAACAAUAAUACAUGUAUUGAAGUUGUUUUAAUGAGAAAUUUGAUGUAUGUAUAAUGAAUUUGUAACAUUAGUCAAUAAUAUAAUGAAUUUGAAAACAUAUUAAUAUUAAAAUGAUAAUAUAUUUAGUUUGAAUAUAUUAAAGAAUAUAAAAGAAAUGAUGACAUACAUAAAUAUUUUUUAUUUAAACAUAUUGAAAAUUUUAUUUACAAAUUUAUAUUUGACAUAUGUUUAAUUAUUACACAAAAGACAUAAUAAAAUAAUUAAAUUAAAUUAUUUAAAAUAUUUUUAUUUUAACUAAUUUAUAGUAUAAUAUAUUAAAGAUAUUUAUAAUAUGUAUAUAUAUGUUUUAUGCGAAAGUGUAAUAUUAAAGACUAUUUGGCUUAGUGGCAUGGGCAUUCCAUCACAAGCAUAAUAAAUUAAUGAAAUAUUGCAAAUUUAACUUGAUGUGUUAAUUUGUGCCUGUGGCUUAGCUGGUUUGUUUGUCUUGUGUUAUGUGUCAACAAUGAUUUAUAAUUUGCAUAAUCAUGUUGAGUUAUGGUCAAUCUCAUUCUAGGUGGGAAAGAAAAAUUAUAUAUGAUGCAUUAUUUUAUCAAAAGCUAGAUACCUAGUAUUAACAACGUAACAUUUAGUGAAAUUUCCAAAUAGUGAAAGUUAUCAAUAUUUGCACUCUUCAUAUCUUUGUGUUUGAAUUUUUUAUACUCUUUUUUUAAUUGGUAGGUUUGCAUCAUGCUAGGAAAUUUGAAGCAUAAAUGAUUUCAAUCUUUUUUACUUUUUGUCUUUUAUUCUUUGACCAGGAGCUUAGAGAACGUAUUCAACCUUAUUUCUUGCGUCGCUUAAAGAAUGAGGUAUUUCAUGAAGAUGAUGCCUCAGAAACUGCCAAACUUUCUAAAAAGAACGAGAUUAUCGUGUGGCUAAGAUUGACAAGUUGCCAGGUGUAAUUCUUGGAUUUAAUGUACAUUUCAUUCAUUUUUGAUGGUAGGUUUUGGUUGUAUACUUAUACUAAUCUUCUUGUUUACUAUUGGUUUGUUGUAGCGACAACUAUAUGAAGCUUUUUUGAACAGUGAGAUCGUUCUUUCAGCUUUUGAUGGCUCACCAUUGGCUGCAAUUACGGUAUUGUUUUCCUUAUGUAGCUUUUAUCUUCUUUGUUGCUCGAUAUCUAGUUGAUUUUUUAUAUGCAAAUACCAUGGAGGUUCUUUGAAUUGUUGUCAUUUUCUUAUGUUAUGCUUUUAUUUUUAUUUUUUAUUUUAUGAAUCCCAUUAUACAAUGUUGGCAAUAGCUGAUACGAUAAGUUUCUUUUUUGCUUUUGGAUUAUUAUGGAGGUCCACAACUCUUUAAAGCUAGUGUGGUUUGGGUGGAUAGUAUCCAUAUUGAUAGAAGAGUAUUUUUUAAAGGUAUAGUGUAAAAAUAAAGGAUGAUGCCAUUUUUUUUAGGGUCUUCCAUUUUAUACCAAUGAUUUAAUUAUAAGAUUACAAACUUUAUGUUCUUUUUUUAGAUUAUGCACACUUGUAGCAUGGGAUUUUGGAAAACUAUGAUGAGAGAGUACAAAUGAGUGAAUGAUCUUGAAUUUGAAAGCAGUUAUGACUAUGAAUUAAAAUAUUUGAAAAUGCAGAAAUAUUGAUGGUUGGAUUUUAUAGAAAUAUCAAAUGAAAACUUGAAAAAAAAAAAUUUGGUGGAAUGAAAAUUGAUAAAAUCUCAUAAAAUAUUGGAAAAAAAACUCUAUGAAAUGAUGAAACAAGCAAUAAUACAAAUAUUGAAGUGGUUUUAUUGAAAAAAAAUAACGUAUAUAUGACCAAAUUUGUGACAUUCGACAAUAACAUAUGAAACAUGAAAACACAUUUAAUAGUAAAAUGAUGAUAUAUCUAGUUUGUAUAUAUUCAAUGAUAUAAAAGAAAUGAUGAUAGAUGUAUAAUUUUUUUUUUUAUUUACAAAUGUUUAUAAUUUCAUUUACAAAUUUUUAUUUCUUAUGUAUUUAGUUACUAUACAAAAGAUAUAAAAAAACUCAUUAAGAAGAUUAUCAUGAUGAUUUUUGUAUUCCUAACAAUUUUUUAAAUGAAAUUUGAAAAUAAAAUAAUUAAAAUUAAUUUAUUUACUAAAAUUUUGUUUUAAAUUUCAUUUUUUGCAUAAAUAUAUUAAAAAGUUUUAAGAAACACAAAUGAGUAUAUACAUUUACUAUGCAUAAUUACUAAUAAGAGCAACAUACCUUAUUGGUGCAACACUCCCUUUCUAAAAAUUAAGAGAUCAGUUUUUGAAUUUUAAUUUUUUGUUCAUUCUCUCUCUAGUUUCCACCAUUUUCUAGGCUACCAAACAAGGAGAAUAAAGGCUAAAUUCUCCAUAUAUAAUAGCUAAACACCAUUUCAUUUGGUGGAGGAGUGUUUUUGGGUGAAGAUCACAAUUGAAAGUGCAUUUUUCUAAAGUGAAAGUUGAUUCCUAUUUUCAGGUUCUUGAAUUUUUCAAUACUUUAAGCGAGAAUUUUUUGAGAAUCUCUCUUGAUUAGGCAUAAGUGAUCCUUCUUAGAUUCAUUGAGUGAUUGUUCUUGCGAUGAUAUUCAGUAAUUUUCACCUAGAUUAUCUAUGAGCAACUUCUUGACUAGAUUCUUAGAUGAAUUAGGGCUAAUAAUUUGAGAAUCAAAACUCUUAAGAGUUGGAUUAAUUUUGCUAGAAGAAGAAUCCUAUUAGAAGCUUAGAUUUGAUCUUAGUGGUUUUGCAUUGUCUUUGAUUAAGAUUAUCACAACAAUGAGGAAGAUAAUUCCAAAUGUUCUAAUGGUUUUUUCCAAUUAUAGUUCUUUGCUCAAGGUUUAAUUGUUUUGAAAUCUAUUUGAAAAUUCAAUUUGAGAACUAAGUUUUAGAUUUGACUCAAAUCCUUAACUGAUCACAGUCCUUAGUUCCUAAAGCCAAAAAUGAAUUUAAUAAAAAGAACUAACAACAUGACUUCAAGUUUGAACAUACAUUUUCCUUUUCAUAAAUUACGACCAUUCGACAAAAUCAAGGUGUGAUCCAAAACUAGUCUAUGUAGAAUGCAUUGGGAAAUGUAACGUGCUUGUUUGAUGAAUAUAGGUCUUUUUCAACAAUUGGAGACAUUGCCAUUGAUAUAGCAAUGACAGGGAAAUUGUUUGAAGUUGAAAAGAAGAUCUUUGAGGUUUGAAGGCUUCCAAGGAGGGGAAUGGAUUUUUGUUGCGAAAAGGUAUUGAGGUAUUGCUUUCUCGAUGGCCUUAGGAAGAAAUGAGAUCACUUGGCUAAUAGAGCAACUAAAGAGGGCAUCGGAGUUGGAGGGUUCUUUGGGUUUCAUUUGGAACUAUUAGGGAAAAACAAGUACACAUCUUUUGGAGAUUUGUUUUAACAAUUCAGGUAGGUUCAUUGAAAUCACAGAGUUUAUUACAAAUAGAAUAACUAGAACAUUGGUUAUUCCUGAGGAUGAUAAAAGCAAAGGAUGGGAAACCCUAAGGAAGACAAUAUCCUCAAUGUUGAAUCUCCUUUUGGUGCUAUUGUAGUAUGACAAUCAGAUGAGGCGAAUACAGAGGAACUAGUGGGUGAUGGUUUUUAAGGAGUGAAACACUCUUAUGCAAGAGUUGUCAAAAAGGAGGGUCUAAAAAAAGGAUCUUUAGUUCCAGUUGAUAAGUGGGCUAGAGCUGUGAUUUGUGAAAGUUAAGAAUUUAAGAUUAGGAUAUUGCUGGAAAGGCUAUUGCUAGACAGUUGGGUUUGAGGGACUAAUGUCUAUAAAUCCAUUCUUGACAUAUAAAGGGUUAUUCUUUAUGGACUCCACUGAAAGAGCUUUGUGGCUUCAAGAGCAUGGGAGGUUGUCAAUAAAGGAGGAACAUGAUAUUUUCUUGAGAUGGUUGCCUAGAGAAAGUACAAUGGUGCUUGGAAAAUUCAGGCGGGGAUAGAUAGAACUAAGAGGCCUUCCAUUUCAUUUAUGGAACGAAAACCAUUUACAACACAUAAUGAAGGCUUAAGGGAGGUUGAUAUAGGUAGAUCAUUGCCCUUUGAAGCUUGUUGAUUUAUCAAAGGUUAAAAUGAAAGUGAAGAUGAACCCAAAUGUGGUGCUGCCAACACUUAUGGAGGUGAAAGAUGGUGUCUGGAGUUUCAUGGUCUCAAUUUAGGUCUUCAAAGUAGAAGAAGAAAGUAGACAUGAGAGGGAUGAGUCAACUCGUAGUAGUGGUGAAUUUGACUUGAUGAGUAGGGUGUUUUUUCUAGGAAAAAUUCAAGUUAGGGACAAGUGAUAGAACCAAAGAGAAUAUGGGAAACAAUUUUAUUCCAUCUUAUUGUUCUUCAUUUUCAUAUUCAAACCUAGAGCUAAACAAAGCCUUAAGGAGGAGGAAAGACGUGGCAACAAAGAAGAGAGGCUUAGAAGUGGAAAGCCCACCAAGUCUUAAAGAUUCCUUAGCUGAUAGAUCUAGGCCCGUUUCUUUUGUUAAGGUCCAUUGUGGAGGAAGCCCAAAAAGAGGAGAAGGUUAAAGGCCCUUAGUUCUUACAAGAGGCAACCUAGUCUAAACGGAAAAAGGAGCCCAAACCUACUUCUUAAGAAAGACCCAUCAGACACUUUUUCCCUAAAACUCCAAGGCGUAGUCUCCACUUCUGUGGAGAACCAACCCAUUGUAGGUCAUAAGAGUUGCCCACAUGAAGGGCAACCUUAGACAACAUGAGGCUUCGUGCAAGUAGUUUGCCCCCACUUGAUAAAGGUUUGUCCAAUGAAAGAAAACAUACUUCAAACUUCCAUAAGGUUUUAAGGGAGUGAGGGUCUAUAGUGGUCGAUGAUGUUGUGGAUUUUAGCAUGUAUCCCUUUCUGAAUUUUAGUGUUGAAAUGGAUCCAUUGAAUGAAGCAAUUCAUGUAAAGGGUUGAGGAUUGAUUGACUUCAACCAGGGUGGACAAUGUCCUAUCUUAGAAAUAACCCAAGAAAACACUGAAGAGACUGAAGGAGGAGAUGGAUUCUCGCUUUGUGGUUUGCGAAGUCAAGUAUUUCCUUCUAAUCUUGAAACCUUUAAUGAGGGUCAAUUCUUAGUUGUUGCCGCAUUUCAUCUUGAUCAAUCUUAGUUUAACUUAUUGAACUUGGGGUCAAAGUCUAGAUUCCUUGGCUAUAACUCCAAUGAAUGAACCUAUUGUAACAUUUGUGCUUAAUGUUGGCGGCCCCACUUUCAAAGUUGUGGAGUGCCUUAGAGAUAUCAAUAACUAAAAACUUAAAAGUUUUUCUUUUCUCAAGUCGCCACUUCGCAACCUUGGUGAGAGCACCUUAGAACCAACCUCAUCCUUGUUGGAAAAAUCACACAUAGUAAAAUGGCCAAUGACAAGUUGGUUUUGGAAACUAUGAAAAACAAGCUAGUCAAAGGUAGUGUGAAAGUCCUCCCAACGCACAACCAUCGGUUAAGGUUUAUUUUAGAAUGAAGUAUAGACCUUCACAUGGAGUUCUUGUGGAUUUUUAGGUUUGAUUUGGUAGUUUGAAAGACUCUUAAGUGUUCACAUGAAGAUCAUUAGUUGGGAUAUUAGAGGGUUGGGUUCCAAAAGGAAAAGGAUUAUGAAGGAUUUCCUUAACUUUGAAAACCUAGACAUUGUGAUGCUUUAGGAAAGACAGAGGGAGACUUGUGAUAGGAGGUUAGUGGGCGAUGUGUGGAAAGGUAGAAAUAAGGAUUGAGUUGUUCUUCUAGCUUGUGGGGCAUAAAGGAAUCGUGAUAAUAUGGGACUCAAAAUAAGUUCAAGUGUUCAGAGAUGGUUUUAAGGUCUUUUUUGGUAACUCUUAAGUUGAGUUAAGAUAAAGAGGGAACCUUCUAGUUGACAUCGGUUUAUGGUCCUAACAAUUUUAACAUGAGGAAGGAUUUUUGAUUGGAGCUUCAAGACCUUUUUGGUCUAACUUUCACGAUUUGGUGUGUAGGAGGGGACUUCAAUGUCAUAAGAAGAAUCUUGGAGGAAAUGGGUGCCUCUUGGUUAACCCUUAUCAUGAGGAUUUUUAUUAGUUCAUAAGAGAAAGUGAGUCAAUUGAUCCCCUUAUUAGAAAUGCAUCUUUUACUUGGUCAAAUAUACAAGAGGUAGGAUAGAUUCUUGUACUCAAACAAGUGGGAUCAAAGUUUCCCUCAAAGCCACCAAGAAGUGCUUCCUAGAUGGACCUCUGAUCAUAGCCUAGUCUUCUUUGAUUUCAACCUUUUUAAGUGGGGUUGAACUCCAUUUAAGUUUGAGAAUAUGUGGUUGCUCCAACUUAAUUUCAAGGAAAGAUUUAGUUAUUAGUUGCAGGAGUGUUAGGUUGGCGGUUAGAAAUUCUUGAAGAAACUAAAUUUUGAUAAAUCUAUAUUGAAAGAUUGGAAUAGGGUGUCCUUUUGAGAUUUAAAGGAGAAAAAAAAAAGAAUAUUCUUUCAAACAAUGUAAGGAUUGAUAACAAUGAGCAAGAAGAGAAUCUGAUUCCUGAACUUUCUACAUUGAGAGCCAUAAGGAUGGGGGAUUGGAGGAGUUAUUGUUAAAGAAAGAGGUUCAUUGGAGGCAAAAAAUCUAGGUUAAAUGGAUAAAAGAAGGCAAUUACAAUUCUAAGCAUUUCCAUAAGGUGGCCAAUGAUAUACAUAAUAGAAGAAUAAAAAAAGAGGCUUUCAAAUUGUGAUCGCUCUCUACUCUUCAUCAAUCGUCAGGCCGGCCAGCGGUCGGAGUCAACGUGUCCUCGACGGCCACGACCAAGGGAGAAUGGUAAGAAGGGAGGGCAGUGUAUUUGGAGCGCUUUGAAGUGGAGAAAAAGGUCUUCAAGGUUAGAUUUGAAGGCAUCCAUGUGGGUCCUUAGAUUUCAGUUACGAAGAAGGUUCCAAGGCACGCUUUCUCGGUGACUUUUGAAGAAGAGGAAAUUGUAUGGAUUUUAGAACAGUUGAAGAAGGUUGUGGAGUUGUCAGAAUCUUGGGGUAGAUCGAGAACACAUUUGGUGGAAAUCUAUUUCAAUAAUAGAGGAAGAUACAUUAGAAUUUCGAAGUUCGUCACAAAUAGAAAAUCUUCCUCUCUGAUUGUUCUUGAAGGAGUCAAAGGUAGAGGAUGGGAAGCCCUAUGGAAGUCGAUAUUGUCUGUGUCGGAGAGCCCUUUUCAUUUAGUUAUGAGAAUAGAGGUGGAAGCAAAGAUGAAAAAUAAAGAUUGGGGUUUAAGGAAAUGAGCUCUCUUACCUGUUGGAAAGUGGGCUAGGGUUGUGAUUUGUGAAGGUCAAGUUGUGGUUCAAGAUUGGGGUGUUAUAGGUAACGCUUUUUCGAGAAUGAUGGGGGUGAGGGUAAUGAUUUCCAUAAAUCCUUUUUCAGCUUUUAAAGGUGUCUUCUUCGUAGAUUUAGUUGAAAGAGCAAACUGGCUUUAGGUGCAAGGAAGGCUAGCUUCGAGAGGACUAGUUUUUAGGUUGAGGAAAUGGUCACCAAGAGAAAAUACAAUAGUUCUUGGAAAAUUCAGGAGGGAUUGGAUAGAGUUGCGAGGUCUCCCAUUCCAUCUAUGGAAUGAAAAUCAGUUAUGAUUCAUAAUGAAGAAUUGGGGGAAAGUGACAGAAGUGGAUCGUGAUACUUUAAAGCUUAUUGAUUUAUCAAAGAUUAAAGUGAUGGUGGAAAUGAAUCCGAAUGUGGUGUUGCCGGUGCUAUUGGGGGUGAUAGAUGGUGCCUGGGUUUUUAUAGUUGUAGUCACAAUCAUCAGAGAUGAAGAAGAAGAAGUUUGGAGAAAGCCCGAGUUAACUCACUUUAGAAGCGAGUUGGCUUCAAUGGGAGAUGGCGUGGUGUAGGGCACUUCAUAGGCUUGGAGGAUACGUGGCAAGGCUAGGAUAGCCACCCACUUUGGUUGGUCUCAAAUAUCAUUUCAAAUUCAAAUGGGCUUGUGAAGCGAGGAAUUGUUAUAAAGGAAAAAAAGGCAUGCAUAGGGAGAGAAUCAUGCCUAGUUGAGAAGGAAAGCCUAGGCCUAUUCUAAGGUUUCCUAGGUAUUAGACCAAAGCCCUUAACCCUAAUUGUUGCAUUCUUUGUAGGAAGAGCAAAGAGACGAUUGAUAAUCUCUUCUUGCAUUGUCCGAUUACUUUGGGAUUGUGGCAUAGAAUCUUUUCACAUGCUGGGAUGAAGUGGGUUCAGUCUAAUAGUAUUUGCAAUAUGUUGGUGAUCUCCUUCAAGUGUUUUGCAAAUUCUAUUAGAGGUAAGACUCUUUGGAGGAUCAUGUCUCUCUCUCUCUCUCUUUUGGAUUGUGUGGAGAGAGAGAGAAAUGUUAGGAUUUUUUAGGACAUUUGGAAGACGUUAGAGAUGAUGUGGGAUCAACUUCAUUUUCAUGUUUCUUUUUGGGCUUACUGUACAAACAUUUUUAAACCCUAUCAUUUUAGUGUAAUCCAGCUUAGUUGGCUUCAAUUAUGUACACCUUAGGGUUGGGUUUAUAGGGUCAGGAUUCUUUUACUUGUAUAGGCUUUUUAUUCUUUUUGUAUAGCCCUCCUUGGGUUAGUGGAGGUUUAUUUAGUUCUUUUGAUCAUGUGGCCUUUUGUAUCUCUUGUAUAGCCUUCCUUGGUUAGUGGAGGUUUACGUAGUUCUUUUGAUCAGGCUUGUACUUCAUGGGGAGGAUUUCUCAUCCUUAUCAUGUCUCGUUUCUCUAUUAAUACAUAUAUUUUGUUUCUGAUUUAAAAAAAAAAGGUGGCCAAUGGUAGAUGAUAAAAUCCUUAGGUUCUAAAGAGGGGGUAACUUUAGGCACCAUUGAAAAUAUUUUAGAAGACAAUGGAUUUUUUUGGUAAGCUAUACUCUAAAACCUUAGGCGAUUAUUGGAGGAUUGGAUUGGUUUGUCGUAUCUGGAGAGGCUGUUACAUGGCUAGACCACCCAUUUCUAAAAGAACAAGAACACUUUGUUGUUUACCAAUUGAAUAAGGAAAAAUGCCCCUAGCCUUGAUGGCUUCACCAUUGUAGUUAUCAAGAGUGUUGAGAUGUGACUGAAGAGGACAUUAUGAGGGUGUUCUUUGAGUUUCACAAUAAUGAGAUAAUAAAUCAAAAUACCAAUGUCACAUUCAUAGUCAUUAUGCUAAAGAAGAAUCAAAUCAGGAAAAUCUCAAAUUUCAAACUUAUUAGCCUAGUUACAAGUUUGUAAGAUUGUAGCUAAGGUCUUAUUAAGGCAUUUAUGCAGAUUUCUCCAUGAAACCAUCUACAUACUAGAGGUUUAAGAUAAAUAAACCCUCUUUCCCCUUUCCUUUUCACUAUUGCAGUUGAUGUUUAAAUAGGAUGAUGAUCAGAGCAGAGGAAAGUGAUUUAUUAAAAGGUUUCAUAGUGGGCAAGGGUAAGACUAGAGUGUCUUUUUUACAAUAUGCAAAUGACACAAUUUUAUUUUCUAAAGCCUUUUUGGAAUAUCUGUAAUACCUUAAGCUAAUCUAUUUGGUUUUUGGGAAAAUAUUAUGGCUUAAGAUCAAUUUAGAGAAAAGUUAUCUCUAGUAUUAAUAUAAGUUAGGAUUUGGUAUCCAAGGUGGAUUGGAUGCUUGAUUGUAAAGUUUUAGAUUGACCUUCAUCUUAUUUGGGUCUUUCUUUAUUAGGGAAUUUGAAGGCAUGCAAAUUUUGGGAUCUAGUGGUUGAUAGAAUCUCAAUGAGACUAGACGGGUUGAUAAAGCCUUUUUUUUCUUAAGGGUGAGAAUAACUCUAAUCCAGUCAUUCUUGUCUCACACCUCUAGCUAUUUCUUAUCUCUUUUCAAGAUCCUAGCAUCAGUAGCUUUAAAGAUUGAGAAAUUGCAAAUGGAUUUUCUUUGGUCAAGGAUUGAGGAAGGUAAAAAAUAUCAUCUUAUCAAUUGCGAUAUAAUGUGUAAACUAAAGGAGUUUGGAGGUUUGGGGUUGGGAAGACUUCUAUGAGAAAUCGUGCUCUGUUAGGGAAGUGACUUUGGAAGUUUCAUAGGGAAAGUUUAGGCCUUUGGCAUCAAAUUAUUUUGAGCAUUUAUAGAACACAUCCUAAUGGAUAAGACGCUAACAUUUUGGUUAGAUGGUCAUAUGGAUGUUCUUGGAAGGUUAUUACACAAGUUUUCUAGGACAUUUUUUCGUAUACUCGCUUUAUGGUGGGUUACGAGGUGAGAAUUCGUUUUUGGGAAGAUUUGUGGUGGGGAGAUCGACCAUCAUGUUCACAAUUUCUAGGUCUUUAUAGGGUUAUCAUAGUGGAAAAUCUCACCAUAUCAGUUGUCCUUGAUAACUCAUUUUCACCUUCUUGGUACCUUAACUUUCAUUGUAGUCUCACUAAUAUGGAAAUUAAAACCUUGAAAGACUCAUGUCCCCACUCCUAUGCACUUGUCUCUAUUUGCUGUAGAUUCAAGAGCUUGAUCUUUAUCCUCCUCAGGUUUACUUUUAGUAAAAUCUUUUUUCUUAGCCUCCUCCAUUAUAUCAAAUCCAAUUUUGGUCUUUGCAACCAAAUUUUUAUCGAAACCAAAAGCUCCAUCAAAGGUCAAUGCUUUUGCUUAGUUAGUAGCACACAGAAAGGUUUAAACUAAUGACAUGCUACAAUUGAGAAAGACUUUACAUGUGUUUUAGUCCUUAUUUGUGCAUCUUAUUUAGGAGAAGUGGAGAAUUGAUAGAUCUUCUCUUUCUAUAUUUGUCCAUUAAUAUUGUAGCUUCUGCAUAAGCUUUACAAUCUAGACAAGAUGGAUUGGGUUCUACCUAGGUGUGUACGUGACGUGUUGACUAUCUCAUUUAGAGAUUUGGGAAGUUCUAUCAGAGGCAAGACCUUUUGACAAAUCGCUUGUCUCAUGAUGUUGUGAAUUGUUUGACAAGAGAGGAAUGCUAAGAUCUUUGAAGAAAAGUGAGGAACGGAAGAGAUGUUAUGAGAUUUACUUCACUUCUAUUCUUCCUUGCAAGUGUGUUGUACCAUUGCCUUUAGAGGCAUUUCACUCAAUGUUAUUCAACUCAAUUAGCUUGUGGUUUGUAAUUCAAAGGGGGUGAAUAACAAUAAGACAAGUUGAGUCCAAUUUUAAGGAGAUGUUACCUAUAUAUACUUAGGCGGCCUAUACCUUUGUGUAUAGUUCUACUUGUAUAGUGGAGGUGUUUAGUCUUACUUUGAUCAAUAUUUUGUAAUUUGUGGGAAGGACCUCUCAUUAUUCUCUUGCACUUUUUUCAUGAUUACUAUAUCUUUUAUUUUUUAUAAAAAAAAUAAAAAAAAAAUAAAAAGAAGAGAAAAAGAGGGAAUGACUAAGUAUAGUAGCUAGUUGUCUUCAUAGGGAUUUGAUAAGUUAAUCCUAGAUCUAUUAGUGAAAUUUACCAGAAAAAUGAUGAUUAAAACCUUGCAACAAAUGAAGAAAACAUAACUUUAUGAUUUUGAAGAUGUUUGAGUGAAUUGGAUUGGAAAAUAAAGAUAAAAAAUAAAUGAAUAAGAGGUAAAAGUCCAUCCAGAUGGAUGUGUCCUUGGAUCAGAUCUAAGCCUUAAGGAGGAUUCAUCAUUAAGACAAACUCACUUGCAUUCUCAAAAUUCUGGAUAUCUGAAGUUCUAAGCGCAAGUCAUGAGUUUGCUCAUAAGCAAUCUAAGUCAAAAUCAUUGAAUCUUAUCUCUUGAACAUUUAAUAAAUACACAAAGCAUCUCCUAUGCCUUAUCAAGAAGAUUUUCAGAGAAUUCUUGCAUAGGAUGAAGCAAUCCACAAGUCUUAAGAGUAUGAAAUGGGUUUUACUUGUGAAAAAUGCACUUUCUAGCUUUGAUCUUCACCUUGAGCACUCCUCCUCUAGAUGUAGAAGGGUUUAGCCACUAAACAUGGAGAAACCAACCUUUAUUCUCAUUGUUUGACAUCAAGAAAAUGAUGGAAAGUAGACAGAGAAUGUGGAGGGAGAAUUCAAAUUCAAAAAUUGAAAUUAAUCUAAUUGUCACUACAAUGAUCCAAAAAGCUCUCUAACUUCUAACAAUCUAGCCUAUUUAUAGCAUCACAUUAUUUAAUUGGCAAGAUCUCAUGAUGCCACAGCAUCCAAUAGUAACUAAAAGCCUAAGUGUCCAAACCUCACAGAAAAUUAUAACAAUGAUUAUAUCUCAUCAAUUUGAGGUAAAAUUAUACAAAAAAAAUGUCCCUGUAACAAAAUAUGUCAAUACUGUAGUAUAGUUUUUUAUACUAUCUUGACAAUUAGCUCCAAAAUCAUUCAAGCCUUCCAUUUUGAUACUCUGAUAUUAUGUAUCGAAAAUGGUAUUGAUUUUUUAUCAAUCAACUAUUAAAGCUCCGAUGAAAAUUGGUUCCUUGUAUCGAAACCAAAAGCCAAGUUUCUCCACCCUUCUGCCAAGAAUUGAUAUGUUAUUUUGGUCUUGAAAUAGCUUUGACAUGUUUAACACUAUAUCGAAAUUUACAUCUAGCUUCUUGGAGUAUGCUAUCAAACUAGUAUCUAAUAUGGUAUCAAAAUAUAAGAUAUUUCAAUACAUCCUCUAAAAACCUUCCUUAACUUUGCUUCAUCACGUAAUAUUUGGUUCUUGACCUUUAUCCUUUUCAAAGUCUAAAUUGUUGAGUUUUUAUCCCCCUUUUGUUGCGCAAUCCCUUAGAUGUUCUUAUUAGCAGCCAAAUAGGUGCUAGCAAAAAUAUAAGCUAAUUAGAGUAGUUUAUGCUCUAUUGUUUUUUUUUUCUUGAUAUUUUGAGUAGUUUAUGCUCUGUUUCAUUAUAGAAUCUACAAUUUAGAGCAUAGAAAAACCUAUGAUUUAAGCACAAAUGAACUUGGUUCACAAAUCCAACUGGAUGAGCAUUUACUCUGAUUUCUCUGCUUUAAUUUCUAUUCUGGUGCUAUGUUCUUUGCAUAUCUUUACAAAUUCACAAAAAUCCAAAUUGUUCUGAUUAGUUUAGUGUUUAAAAGACAGAAAAAAAAUAAAAAAAACUUCCUUACAGAUCUCAAUGUUAUUCCACUAGGUUCCUAAUGAUCUAGCCACUAUGCUUAGUUGUUAGUUCUUUUGAUUAAUUCAAUCAUUUUUAGUUUAGGAGCUAAUUGGACUUUGAUAAAUCAGAGUUUAGUUCACAAACAGGAGAUCGCAAUUAUGUUUUCUUUUAUAAAAAUUUCAGACAAAGUAUUAUUGAAAGGAAAAUCUGAUUUGACCGACUUUCAUUAAAUUUAAAAUUUCAUUAUGGCACUAUCAGAAACAGAGGCCAUAAAAUAACGAACCGAAAGUUAGAUUUUAAAGGUGCUAACAUGGCACAAUGAGGUUUCUUGGGAAAUUGUGAAAAUAUCAUGAAAAAUCAAUGAUUAAUUGAAAAAAUUGUCAAACUAUAACAAAAAAUCGGAGAUAUUUUUGGAAACUCCGUUGGACCAAGUUUCUCUCCAAAAAAUUAUGUUAGGGGUUGGUGAUACAAUGAAAUUUCAACAAAAAAUCACCCACAUUCCCUGAAAUUUUCUUCCUUGGUUAUGACAUAUUUUUAUAGUUUUUUGGAUUAAGUUUCCAAAACUUUUACUUAUCAUUGUAUAUUCUUUAACUAAUUUGGUUGGAUAUUUUUGAGUUUGACUCUUCCUGGACCAAAUUUUGUGGGAAAAAAAACCAUGCUGUUUAGGUGAGUUCACAAAGGCAGUUUCUAUAAAGGGGAUUUCUUUCUUUUUCCCUUUUUCCCUUUUGGUUUGUAGGUGAAUGAGGGCUUUGUGGGCAAAAGGGGGCUUUGUGGGGCUGGGAGAAUGGGUUCAGUUCUUGGUCAUGGGGGUGGCUAAAGUCUAGUUCUGAUUGGAGUCGACCUUUGAUAUAGUGAUGACAUCAGUUGGUUAUGGAGUCAACUGAUUAAUUGUUCACUUUGCAUGAAGUGAAGAAUUUGGAGUGGUUCAUAUUUGGGCUGGUAUUACCUUUGAUUUAUGGUUAGAUAUUCUCCUUCUUUUCCUUGUAGGUUGUAGGUGAAUGAAAGGAAUGAUGAAGAUGAACCCAACAGGAUACUCAUUUACACUGAAUCAUUGAAUGUCAGUUGCUUAAUUUACUUCUUUACAUGGCAAAGUUUUUAGAAUCCCAUGAUUCAGAUGGCAGCAAUAGUUCUUCUACUUAAGAGAUAAAUAUUGAAGUGGUGAAACAAUGCUUUUGCAAGCCCCCAUUAAGGGGGCCUUAGAUCUCAUUUUCUGAGAAUAUGAACUUCUUUUAUUUAUUUUGUUUGUAAAUUUUUUCAUUUGAUUUCAAGCAGAUUCUGAAAAAAAUAUGUGAUCAUCCCCUCCUCUUAACAAAAAGAGCCGUUGAAGAUGUGUUGGAAGGAAUGGAUUCAAUGCUAAAUCAAGAAGACCUUGGUAUGGCGUCGAAGCUAGCGAUGCACUUAGCAACCGCCUAUGAGAGAGAUGAUUUCUUGGAGAAGAAUGACAACGUUUCAUCCAAAAUGUCUUUUAUAUUAGCUUUACUGGUUGGUGAUGCUAGACCCUGUUAGACAGAUGUCCUUAUUAUUGUCUUCUGCUGUAACCAAAUGCCUACGAUGCCUUGCACAGGAUACUUUAAUUCCAGAGGGGCAUAAUGUUCUUAUCUUUUCUCAAACUCGCAAGAUGCUUAAUCUCAUUGAGGUAAGUUGCAAAGUUUUGGUGAUUUCCCUGUUUCCAGUAUUUCUUAAGAAGGAAAUUUGGCAUUGUUUACUUCCUUUUUCUAUGGUAUUAAUGUAGUUGAUAGCUGACCUCUAGUAGCUGAGGUUCAAAGUUUUGAUUAGUUGAGUUAUUAGUUUAGCUGAUAGUUUGGGGAUAUUAGGAGUUAUAGAUUGAUUGAUGACUUAAUUGUUUUUGUGAUUUCAAGGCUUGUGGCAAGCUGGGUAGAGAAUUAUGAUUAUUUAAAUAUACAAGUAGUUUGGUUAAAGACAAACAAAGACCCAACUACUAGGCAUUUUCCAAACCCAGAUACAGGGAACCUAGUUGAGUUCUAACUUAGGUGCUCAUCUAAACUAGCCAUUUGCCUUGUGUACGCUGCUCCUUGCUACACUCUUGUUGAUACUAGAUGGGACCUAUGUGUCACCAUGGACUAAAACAUUGAUGAGAUUAUCAAGAUAUUGAGUCUCAUGUAUGGUGAGGAGAGUCACAACUGUAGUUUUAUUUUUUACUUUUUCUUAACUUAGAAAUUGACAUUUCUUCCGAGAUUUAAAAAGAAAAUAUUGAUUGGAUUGCUCUCAAUUGCAUUUUUCUUCCUUCAUUGCUUGGUUUACCUGUGUAAUACUCUUUUCUUUGACUCCAAAUUUAAACAUUGGGCACAACUAAAAAAUAAGAAGCUUGGGAAAUGAUUUCUUAUUUAUCCAUGUAUGCAUCUUCAUCAAGGUUAUUGUCUCCCAUUCUAAAGAUAACUUCAGGGGUAGGGUGUUAAAACUAAAAUUAAGUUUAUUUUCUCCGACCUUGCAUCAUUAUUUUAUCAGGUAGGAUGAUGAUAGAGUAGAGAACACCAAAAAGGGAGUAUCGUUGAAAUUUAUGGGAAGUAUACUAGCAAUAACUUUUAUAUUGAUCAAUAGUUAAUGUUCUCCUUUUAUAUUAAACUUUUUUGUUUCCCCUUUCUUCAUAUGGAAUUUAUUUGUCUUAAGCAUGAGCAUUUGAAGGAUCUAUGUGUUUGUGUUUCGUUUUCCUUUCUUAAAUAAUUUGAUUGGAUGUUUUAAAGUUCAAAAUGAACAAGUAUAUGAUGUAAAUAAACAACCAUGGAACUUGCAUCUUUUAUGGUUUUGAAUAUGAUGUUAUUUUAAGGCAUAACAUGAGUGUUAAUUUUGAAUGACCUUUUUGUUGCUGUCAGGAAUUGCUAAUAUCCAAUGGUUACAAGUUCUUACGCAUUGACGGUACCACAAAAGCUAAUGACAGAGUGAAGAUUGUUAAUGUUUGUGUUGUACUCAGUUUAAAUUAGGACUAUUCAUUUGUUUUCAUGAAGUUUUUAAGCCAUAAUUUUCAUUUUAUGAUCAGGAUUUCCAAGACGGUGUUGGGGCUCCUAUAUUUCUCCUGACAUCUCAAGUUGGUGGUUUGGGCCUCACUUUAACAAAAGCAGACCGUGUGAUUGUGGUUGAUCCAGCUUGGAACCCAAGGUGCUAUUCAUAUUAUUUUUUUCUUAUUUAGAUUUAGUGAAUACUUAUCCGCUCAUAGUUCAAUUAUUCUGAAACAAAGACUAGGUAGAGCCAUAAAAAGCUUUGCAAAUUGUUCUUCAUGGGAUAUUUCUGUAUCUCAAAUGACUCAUUUCAGCACCAAUUAAUUUUUCCUCUUUUUUUUUUUUUUAAAUAAGUUUUGUUGUAAGAAUCACUCAGUGCAUAACUUGUGGGAUGAGUGUUACUUACAUCGUUUUAUUGUUGCAGUACGGAUAACCAAAGUGUUGACCGUGCUUACCGAAUUGGCCAAACAAAGGACGUCAUUGUGUACAGGUUAAUGACAUGUGGCACCAUUGAAGAAAAGAUAUAUAGAAAGCAGGUUAGUUACUCUUUGUUUCUUUUUGGGGUUGAAGUGGUUAAAAUUUAAGGAAUUUAUUUUUUGUGACUACACUAUUUUCUUCAUGUCUAAGACACAUGCCUCUAAGGCCCAUAGGAGUAUUGGGUGUUUGUAUGAUCCUAUGUGAUGGAAUGACAAUGUACACUUGUUCUCGCCUAUUAUCAUAACCACGUAAAAUGUAUGCUCUUAAGGUAAUCAGUUUCUCAGUUAAGGAGUCUAGAUAGAGAUACCUCACUUUAUUAUUAUUAUUAUUAUUAUGAUGAUAAUUUUUUAAUAUUUGUUUCAAUUAUCCUCUAUUACAAUGAGUGUAUCAUGGUAUUGUUAUGAUUGCUCAAAAUGUGUGAUUUAGAUAUUCAAGGGGGGAUUGUUUAGAACUGCAACUGAACACAAAGAACAAACUCGGUACUUCAGCCAACAGGUAUAUACUUAGAGAAUUAUGUUUGUUCUUUAACUUACUAACCCUUUAACAUUUUAAAGAUGGGUGAUCUCUACCAAGUUUUCCACAAUUCUUUCAGGACCUUCAAGAGCUUUUCAGCCUCCCUAAACAUGGAUUUGAUGUCUCUGUCACUCAGCAACAAUUGCAUGAAGAGCAUGAUCACCAGCACAAUAUGUACUAUCCUUAGCAGUCGAUUUGUAUUCCAUAAACAUAUUCUCUAUGUUCUUUUGUUCCAUUUAGUUAAAUAUUUUUUUUCAAGAUUAGACCAUGCAAUUCAUACUUUGGUAAAUAUUAGAGAAUAUUUAUUAAAACUACUGUUAGUUGCAUCAUUAUUUAUGGAAUAUCUAUGUUGUUCAUUAGAUUUUUUUCCCCAGCCUUUACAAAGCAAGGUAAUCAUUGUCUUCAUUUGAGCAUACAGUGACACUAAUUUCGGGAUGAACUAGGGGAUGUACCUUAUGUACCCUUCUUCCAUGUGCGUAGGAUUAAGAAAUUACUCACAUUGAUUUAAUUUGCAUUAUUUCUAGAAAGUUGGAAGUACAUUUGAAUUUGGUGCAAUAACUAAUCCCAAUUAGCACAAGUAGUUUUAUGUGGCUUUAUUGAUAACUUCUUCGAAUUUGCAUGAACUAGCACUUUUACCUGUUGAAGAGGUGAGUAUCUUUUUGCAUUUUGUGCACCUGAAUCAAUGUCUAUUAUGUGAGCAACGCCUUAGAUGAAUUGUUCACAUGAGACAUUAUAAGCUAAAAAGGCAGAUCCAAUUUGUCUACUUCUGAUUAAACGUCUACUACUAAACCAUGUUUCUAGUGGGAUCUUCUUUAUAACCAUGUUUACACAUGCAUAAAUAACUAUAUAUAUGCACACAUAGACACACAUUUGGAUCCUACGUAUAUCAUGGGGACUCCUUUCCUAAACAUCAUAAUAGUUAAUUUUUAGAUUUCACUUUAACAUUUCAAAAGAGUAAACUAAUGAUCCUACUUGCAUGGGUUUACUUAUUGGUGAUCUAACGAGUUUGAAUGUCUAUUAUAAUUUAAGUGAAUGCGUUUAUGGGAACUAUUUAUAUUUUGAAGUCGAUAAUGAGUGAUGUCCUUUUCCUAGCAUUCUUCUAUAUAAUGAGUCAAAUUCCACAAUGUAAUUCUUUUUCUUCUGAUGUUCACUCAUAAGUUAUAAUCUUUUAUAUAAUUACUUUCAAAGAAUCAAUAAAUUGGAUAACUUUCUAUUCAUCAAUUUUUUUUGUUUCAGUUAUGGAAAUCAUUUCAUAUAGAAAGAUAAGAGGGAUGAAAACAAACUUUCAAAUCCACUAAAUUUUGAUUUCACAGAUGUUCAUAAUUAUUGACAAAUCAAUUUUUAUUUUUAUUUUUUUCAAAUUUUCAGAUAAUGAAAUUUUAUACAAAGGCUCCAUUGCACAACAUAUUUAUCAUGAUUGCAAACGAGGAUUAUGAUUUCAAGUUUUUUAUGUUUGUAGGGUUCUAGUGGAUCUCUACAUGCUUUACAGUUCACAUUUAUUUUUGUAACUCCUAACUUCGCUUUUUCUCACCCUAUAGGGAUGAAUCUUUGAAAGAACACAUAAAGUUCCUAGAAACUCAAGGUAUAGCAGGAGUUAGCCAUCACAAUUUGCUUUUCUCCAAGACAGCACGCGUACUAGUUGUAGAUGAAGAAGAGGAAGUGGCAAGGUUGGAUCUAUAUUUUUCACCUCAUAUUUUUAGUUAAUGAUAAAUAUAUUUUGUCUUGUUUAUUUGCAUGUGACAGGAUUAAGAAUGAGAUAAUUUUGAAUUUUAAAUAAUCUAAGGUGUCAUUUAUUUUUUGGUUGAAUAGAAAAAGUUAAAAUAUUGGGCUUUUUCUAUUUAGUUAAAAGUAACUUAUUGAUAUUAACCAACAUAAUCGAACCUAUUGAUAACAAGUUCACUUUAGUUAUGUUGGUUAAUAUCAAUAGAUUACCUUUAGUUAAAUAGAAAAAGACAAAUAUUUUGACUUUUUCUAUUCGGCCAAAAAACAAAUAACUAAAUUUUGUAAGAUAGCUAGUGCACCAUUUAUCUUGCUAAAAAUUCACUAGCUCUGGUUUACAAAGUUACUGCUCUAUUUGAAGUUUCAACAAUUUUGUUCAUCUCUUUACUGAAGUAAAUUUUGCAUGGUACUCUUUUUUUUUCAUUUCUCCUUUUGAGUUUUGUAAAGAUACUUCUAAUUUUGGUUUCCAAGAGUAGAACAUAAUGUUAAAAUUAGUAUUUGGUUUCACUGCAAAAUAAGCAUGGAUUCUCAGCAUCACUACAUUAGCAUUGUUGGGAGCUAUGUUACAUGAGUUUGGGUAUAAGUGUUGGGGCGUAGUUAUGUGUCUAGGUGUUAGAUCCUUUGCAUCCCAAAAUCUUAAGACAUAGGGAUUUGACUAAAAAGGAUUUCAACUAUGGGUGCAAGUACAUGAAUACGACAUUAAUGAAAAAUAAAUUACCACUAGAUAUAAACAUAGUAAAAUAAGUUAUUUAAAAUACAACAUGAUUAAUUAUAAUUGGAGAAUAUACUAUGUUUUCUAUUUUAAUAAGAUGGUUAGCUUAUCUAAUUUUGAUGUUACUAUGAAUUUUACAUGAAUAACUUGUUUAUUGUGUCUUUUAUUUUAAUAGAAUGCUAAGAUAAAUUUUUAAGACAAUAUUAUACCAAUAAAUUUUGAUUGGUUUAAAAUUUUAAAAUUAAUGUUGAUUUUGUAAUAAAAAUGAAAAAUAUAUAUUAGGUAUUGAUAAAAUAUGAUUCAUAUUUAAUUUCUUAUCAUUCAAUUUUUUUUAUUUUUUAUAUUAAUUAUUUUAAUUUAUCUUUAUAUUUUUUAAACUAAUAAUUAUUAUAUUUAUUUUUAAAUUUUAUCUAUUAUAAUUUUUUAAAAAAUAAGAAUAUUUAUUAAUUUAAUCUAUUGUUAUUUUUUUUUAAAUGAAGAAAGGGAUAAAAGAGUUUUAAAUUAAUUUAAAAAUUCUUGACUUUUUAUUAUUAUUUAUUUUAUAUUGUUGUUUAGUAUACCUGGACACCAGCACCGGUGUUGUAUUUGAAAUAGGUAUUUUAGCUAAAAUUAAAGUGUCUGUGUAUCAUAGGUUGAGAGUAUAGGGUGAAUUGGUGCUUAUGUUGUUUUGACACAGGUAUUUUAGCUAAAAUUAAAGGGUUUGUAUAUCAUAGGUUGGGAGUAUUGGGUGAAUUGGUGCUAAGAUUUUGUAAUGUUAUUUUUGUUUGUUUCCUUUGUGUGAGUAUAGGGCCAGCAGGACGGGAACUACAUCCGUCAUGAACAAAUCUGCAGGCUCUUCACACGAACAAGAUGUUGAAUGGUACAUUCUUUAAAGAACAAUUCAAUGCACUUCAAGUGAUAAUCAUUUUAUAGUCAAGAACAUUGAUGGAUUUGCUGUGAACCUGUUUGACAUUUUCUAUCAGGGCUCAGUAUGCUUUCAAGCCAAAGGAGGUGAAUCUGCAUAAGACAAAUUCUUCUGCAGACAGUGCAGGUAAACUGACAGAAUCAGAGAUCAAAGGGAGAAUUAAUCGCCUGUCUCAAAUUUUGGCAAAUAAGGUAUUAUUUUAGUACCAAGUACAAUCUUUAGAAACUUUAUUAAUUGAUGUUUCUGUUUAAUCAAAACAUCGGGCCAUCAGCUGCUCCAGACUGCAAGAAAGGCUUCCAGUAGAGUUUAUGCCCUUCGCAAAACUGAGUUAUGACUUGCAAAAAGGACCUUCAAGCUCUAAUUUUGCUCUAUGUGACUUAUUUGUGUAUGUCUCCUUGUUUUUUAAGGCCAACAACAUGGGGGCACUGGCCUUUAGCUAGCCCAAAAUGCAACUUCACUGAAUAUAGUUGACUUAAGUUUGAACCAUCAUACGUGCAUAGGCCAAAUUUUAACCACUCCAACAUUUUUAGUGUUAAGCUGAACCCAUGCGGAUGAAAUCUUUGCUUUUCCUAUCAUCAAGCCCGGCACUCUGAUAACCAAGAGUGGUUUGGUUACCACUAUAAUCAGUUUAUUCCGUGUUUCUUUCUUUGUUUUCCCUCUUUCAAAAUAUUUAAUUUUUUUUUUCUUGGUCUCAAAAUAUUCUUCAGGCUACAGUUUCAAAGUUACCAGACAAGGGAGAGAGGAUACAAAAGCAGAUUGCUGAACUGAAUUUAGAGCUUGAUAAGAUGAGGAUGACAAAAAGAAUUGAAACGGAAGUUAUUGAUUUGGAUGAUGUGACCGGAAAGCUUGAGAAUGUGCUGAACCUGUAGAUGUUUGUCAUUGAGGAAGUGGAAAUCUUGGGGAAAAAGAAAAUUGUAUGUUUUAAUAAGUGAAGUGAACAAUCAACAAUACCCAUUAGAAAAAUAGGAGCAGCUGUUUUUCAUCUUGUAGCUCCACAAGAAUAGCCUUUCAGGUUGCACUUCUGCAAUCUAUGGGUGAGUUAGAAGGUUUUAAAAAUUACUAUUGCUAGUUAGUUUACUUGGCAAGAGAGGCCAUCUUUAUUAUUAUUUUGAUAAAUGAUGAAACUAUUAUUGUAAAUUUAAAUGUUUUAAGUUUGAGAUUUUAUUUUAUUUUAAAUUUUCUUCUCUCCUCUCAUGUUGUUUUGAGACACUGCUUUAUUAGACCAAUAAGAAAAUAGUAAUCAAGAUAAGCAAAUUGCCACUGUUAGUAGGAAAUUUAAAAGUUUCUUGAUCCCACAAUUCAUUUUUCUGCUCAAUUUUGCGCCAUGAUGCUUGAUUGCAUUAUUGUACUCUUGAACCUAUGCUUCCACUGAUAUGAACAACAAUCCACCUCCGUUGAGAUCUGUCCUUGGCCCUCAUGGUGAAAUUGAGGAAAGCGUUGUUGGAGAUUUCCAUUAUAUAAGGCAAACUAAUGAAUUAAGACUUCAUGAUGGCCCAAUUAUUUUUCCUGUGGUCCAAAAAGGGAAUGGUUCAACCUUCCGUAAUCCACAGAUCACAGUGCAGUUUGUAGAGCCACCUUUUCUUCCACUUUUUCUUUAAACGAAGAAACAAGAAAUGGAAAGUGGAUUUUGGAUCAUUUUGGAAGUUAGGAGUUUAUAAGACGUGUGUUGUGCACCCCACCCCCAAAUGUGAAUGGGUCAUAAAUUAUGUUAACAAUAUGUCUGCAUUUCUAUGUAAGAGGUAUGGGCUUAAUAGGUACUAGGUUAAGUAGGUAAGCCACGUUCUCAAAGACAUCCCCAAAAUGAUAUAGGAAUUGAUAAGCAAUUCAUCAUAAAUCUUACUAUGUACAUCAAUGUUUGAUUUCUUGUUUCUACUAUUCCAUUUUGUUGUGGAGUUAUUGGUGCACUCAAUUAGGAUAUAAUCUCAUACUUCUUAAGGAAAGAAUCGAAUUGGGUGGAUGUAUACUAAUCACCUUGACCAAAUCAAAGUGCCUUGAAAUGUUAACCCAGUUAGUUUUUAAAUUUUGUUUCAAAUUCAAUGAAUUUAUCAAAGCAUUGGAUUUUCUAUUCAUUAGAUAAAUAUAUCCAAACCUAUAGUAAUCAUUUGUAAAGGUGAUGAAGUACUCAUACCCUUAUACAUAGAUAUUAAAAAUCUCACACACAUUAGUAUGAACUAACUCCGGACAUUCCUUAGCUCUAUAUUCUUUAGAAGUAAGGGAUCUCUUGAUCAUUUUAAUAAUAACAUGUUUAUUAAAAAAACGUUGAAUAAUUCAAUUUACAUAAAUUAAAAAUUGAAAUCAAAUUCUUUCUAAACUUAGGAACAUAAAGACAAUCUUUGAGAUAUAGAAGACAAUUAUUCUCUAAGAUAAGGAUAACGUCUCUCACUGCCUAUACAAUUAUUCUCACAUCAGACGCUGGAGUCAGGUACAUGUUCCCAUUAUUUAGGCUUCUCCUUAACUGAAAUCUCUGUAAAGAAGAAUAAAUAUGGUAAGUGGCCUCAAAAUCUAUCCACUAAGAGUUGUAGAAUUCACCACUAAACAUGAUUCAAUUAAAAAUGAAUGAUGCAUACAUUGCUUUUUCUUUAGGAAUUGAGGACACUCCUAGUGGCAUUUCUUUUCAUAAAGGAAGUACUUGCACUUUUCCUUGCUCUUCUUACGCCCUUUCUAAACUUUCCCUUUUGUUUGGUGUUUUCAAAAUUGUUCUUCUUACUAUAAGAACCCUUAAUUACCAUAUGAACACCCUUUUGGUUUUUUAGAAUCUCCUCAGCCAUCCAGAGUUCCCUCAUAAGCAUUGUCAAGUUCAUUAAUAACUUAUUCAUAGUAUAGCUAAGCUUAAAACUACUAGAAGGAAUCCAACAAGGUCUCUAAAACCAUUUCAACCUUGAUUUCCUUGUUGAUCUCAGCUCCAAGGAUCUCUAUCUUGUUAAAGAGUUUAAUCAUAUGUAUUAUAUUAUCUCUAACAAAAAAGUUCCUUCUGGAAUCCUGAGGUUCAUAAUAGUCUUAAGAGUAGUCAGUUUAGUUGACUUGCCUUUAUUACCAAAUAUCUCUUACAAACUGAAAAGAAUAACAUAAGUUGUGGCAAUAGGCACGUGUCGUUGUUGCAACUAUAGGGAAUCCUAGUUAGAUCACUCUAUUCCCUAUCUCAAGAUCAAGUUAAGAUCAUAAAAACUUUCAUAGGCUUUUUCUAAACCCUAUGCACAACAACAAAAAAAUUACAUUUUAAAAUAAGAGCAAGAUUUUGAAUGUGCAACCAAAAACAUUGUCUUGGAUUUGGACGUUCCCAAAUCUAUUCCUUUUGAUGUAUAUGAAGAUUGAAUUCUUCGAAAGUCUCGUACACCCAAUAUCUUUCACUCGAUGACUAUUCCUUAAUCUUGAUACUCAAUGGGUGAGGAGAAAGGGAAGGUGGAGGCUAUGAUUCUCUCUUUUUCUUCAUUCCUAAAUGGUUAUUUAUAUAAUUCCCUAACUAAGCUUAGGUGACUUGAGCCCACCAAGGACUUGGGUCACUGAAUCUAACCCAAAAUAGAUCCUAAUUGAUUAAUUGACCUAAUAGAAUCAACUAAAUAAUAAAUUAACCCAACCCAGAGACUUUGUUCAUUGACUAUUGUGUAACUUUACAUAAUUACCAAAACACCCUUAUGCACAAAAGUGAAUCAAGAUUCAAUCCAAUCCUCAUAAAUCAUGUUGUCAAGGAAUAUGAGUUCAAGUAAGGACCAUUGGGACCCAUAGGAUAGUAUUGAUUCCCUCAAAAUCCAAUUAUGAAGUGGACUUAGUAUCCCACUUUUAAAGAGUCAAUUGCACUCCAAUAUCCUAUGUAUAUUUCAACAAGACACCAACUCAGGUUUAUGACCUACUAUCCAUUGUAUGUAGUCUCCCUAUGAAUUGGUUGUCUAUAGUCUAACAAGGUGAAAGUUAUUAGUCUUUCAAGACUAUCUCUACUAUCCUUAAGUUAUAUAUCCUCCUAUUAUGUGAUCAAGUAAUAUACUCUAACUCAUUAAGAGCAUAUGUCAAAUUCGAAUGAAUGAAUUACUACAAGCCCAUUGAUUUUGUUAGGACAUUGAGUUUGGAUUGUAUGUUAGUAAUUUUGUUCUUUUUUUAUGUUUGGGCAUAGAAGUCUUUUUAGAUAGUGACUUACUCUCCAUUGAAGAUUAAGGGUUGUUGUUUGUCUAAUCACAAAGUCAAGGUAUGUCUAAAAAAGAUUGACUUGUGACAUGUUAGGCUCCUAUGAGGUAUAAAGAGAAUUAAUUUUGUUUUUAAACUUAAAAUGAUUUAAAAUUAAUAUUUUAAUAAAAAUGGCAAGAUUACUCAAACACUCUUUACCGUUCAAGCACCCGAGGCGCUCAAGCGGUGGGUUAGUCGGCUUAAGUGGUCAUGUUAUUUAUGCCAAGAAUUUUUCAUGCAAAUUAGAUUUUGAACUAUUCCAAAACUGAAAUUCUUUAAGCUUUUGGCUAUAUAUACCUCAUUAUAACCCCCUUGAGGGUAAAAAGAUUGGAAAGAGAUCAAAAACUUUUUUAAAGAGUCUCAUCGAGGAGAAAGCCUAAAGUGCCACACCAUUCCCAAUCUCUCGUUCAAGGAUUUGAUAUUUGAAUCUUGGGUUGAAGAUAUGCAUCCCUUUAGCAAGGCUAAAGUGCAUUUACUAGAACAAUCGAAGGUUGUUGCGUUGCGAACAUGGAUCAAGUUGUAAGUACUAGAGAGCAAGUCUUUAGGGUAAAGUUGAUAGGUAAAUUUGUGUAACUUGAUUUCAUAUAGUGGAUUUAGAUUAGUGGUCUUAGACCUCGUGGUUUUUUAUCCCCACAGUUAGUGUAAGGGUUUUCCACAUAAAAAUCUCUUAUGCUUCAUUGCUUAUUAUUUGAUAUCUUGUAUGAAUUGCCUACAAUAGAAAGAAUUGAUAUACUCUAAUACCUCGUAGGAUAGAAAAUUGGGUAUGACAUAUAAAUCUUUAUUUAAUUUUUUUUAAUACAACUAUUCAACCCCUCUCUAGGUGUUACCCAUUGGACUUAAAGGAUUUUUUUCUAUUGGUAUUAGAGCAGGACAAAAAUCGAUUUUUUCUUAUCUUAUUGAUUAAAAAUUAAAAUUUUCUUAAUCCUAUUCGAUUAAAAUCAAAUUUUUUUUUUAUUAUUCAUAUAGGAUAACAAAUUCAAUUUUUAUUGAUCCUAUAAGCCCAAUAUGGAACAUUCAAAGACAAAAACACCUUUGAAUAGUUUAGCCUACUUUGAUGGGAGUAACUAUUCCCAUUGGAAAGCUUUAAUGAUGUUUUUCCUUAGAAUGCAAGGCAAAAGGGUAUAGAAUUCAAUAGAAUAUGGGGUCCCCCAUUGAUCCUUGAUGCUCAAGAAAGAUCAACGGGAGAACUGAAACCUAAACACGAAUGAGACAAAGCCGACAAUGAAGGUAGUAAAACCAAUGCUAAGGCUUUAUUUAGUAUUUUUAACGUAGUUUAUCUAGAUGAGUUUCAUAGGAUAACAAAUUGUAAAUGUGCAAAGGAAGCAUGAGAGAUACUCUAAGUUACUCAUGAAGGUACAUUUGUUGUAAAGAUCUUUAAAUUGCAAAUGCUUGUCACCAAAUUUGAGAAUAUUAAGAUGCUUGAAAAUAAGAACUUUUCUUCUUUCUAUUAUGAAUUGAGUGGUAUUAUUAAUUGUUCUUUUAACCUUGGAUAACCUAUUAUUGAUUAUAAAGUUCUUAGAAAAAUAUUGAGAUAUUUGAAAAACCAAAAGUCUAAUAGGGAACGACAAUUGAGUUGUUUAAACCAAUUAUUGUCAAAGACUUAGCUAUGACUUGAAUCAUACCAAAGUGUAUAAAGUUGUAGUAUCUCUUAUGUCUUUAUCUACUGUCCAAGAGUCUUAUCACUUGAUCUUCUUGUUCUAAGCUUAUGGUCCGUUCAAGUGUCUUAAUGGUGUAGUCUCUAAAGAACUUAAAGGUUCAUUUCUUACAAAUUUUUUUAUUAGAUACCUUGGGUAACUUCCAAUCAUCUAAAUCAUUUUGUGUCUUAGGAUAAUUGAUCUCUUCACUAUUUACUACAACUUCUUGAGAAUUUUGGAUUUGCCUAGACAUGGUUUUGAAAAUUGAACUCAUUUUAAGGUCUUAAUUUAGAGCCUAAUAGCAGAUUGACAAACUUAGUGAGUAAUCACCCCAACCCUUUUAUAAACCUAAAAAUGCUUAACAUCGGCUAACAACGGGCUCAACCCGAUAGGGAUCACCUCAGAUAGAUUGCUAUUUUACUAGGAUAGAUUUAAAACUCAAAAUAAAACCCGACUACCCUUUCUAGACGAGUUUGGCAUAGUAAAACAAUUUGGCAUAUAUAUAUAUAUAUAUAUAUAUAUAUAAUCCAACCAAGCAGAAUUUGGGAAAAUUCUGGUAUUUUCCUCCUAGCCAUAUGCAAAACUUUUAUUGACAUUUAUGCCCCUAAAUUUUUUGCCAAUUUCAGAAAAGCAGAGUACAUUUUUCUCACUUAACGAUUAGGAAUUAUGGAUAUAUAUAGGUAUUUAUCCUUGCGUUUCAUCUUUCCCAUCCAUUCCAUGGCCCUAGCGAUGAGUAUUCACCUCACGCGCCUCCCCCGCCACUUCCCUUUCCCUUCACUCUUUCCUCGCUUUCCUCGAAUUCUUAGCAACCCUUGUCAUCUCACUUCUCGCCGAAAACCACGUCGAACCUUCACUUUCUUCACCUGCAACUUCACCGUCGCCGCCACUUCCGCCACUUAUGGUACGGUUUUUUAGUUUAUUAUGAUUGCAGUUCUUUUAUUGGACACCCGUUCGGCUUUGAGAAAAAUGCUCUGAGAAAAAUGGAACGAAAGAAAGAGAAUUUUAGGAUCUUAUAUUUUUCAUUUUUCAUUUUUUUUUUGUUUUUUGUUUUUUCAGUUACUUCUGUUUUCCCACUUUAUCUGUUAUCAACCAAACCGUGAGGGACACAAUUUUGAAAUGAGGGUUGAAAUUUGCCAACUUAUUGAUAAAUUCGAUACAUUUUUUUUGUUAUUAUCCCGAGCAGAAGAUGUUGAUCUUGGUAGAAUUGGAGCGGAAGUAAAAAAAUUAGACGUUCAUGUUGCUUUAAGAUUUUAUUUCUCACAAAGUUUUGAUGAUUUUGUGCUAUAAGUUGUUGAAAAAAAUGAUGGAAAGAGGGGAAAAGAGAGAGAAUUUUGAAUUUGUAGUCUUUUGUGUUCUGAUUUGCUUUUUCUAUUCCUUCUUUUUUCCCCAAACAAAGUGAAACAUGGAUGAUUGGAUGAUCAGCAAAAAAUUUCAAAUGCCAACUGAAAUUUGCUAAUAUACUAAUAAUUUGGGUCGUGCUUAAGGUUCAACUAAGGAGUGGGAGAGAGUAAUUUUUUGUUAGAACUGAGGCUGGAGUGGUAGACAAGAAGUUUAUACUGCUUGAAGUUUUUAUUUCACCCAAAAUUUUGAUAACAGCAUGUUUGUUUGCUAAGUAAACUAUGGAGAUUGGGAGGAUCACAUUUUAGGGCCUUCAAUCUUUGCUGCCAAGACCAUUGUCUGACCAUUCAAAUUUGAAAACAUGUGGUCAAAGGUGGAAGGCUUUUCAGAUAAAAUCAAAGAGUGGUGGUAGACUUAUAAGCGUUGAAAAAUGGCUUAAAUAAGUGGAAUAAAGAGGUGGUUGAUAAUGUCUCAGCCAAGAAGGAUUUUGCUUUGGAGGUGAUAAACCAUUGGGAUAGUGUAGAAAGGCUAAGAACCCUGUUCGAGGAGGAUAGGAGAAGCUAGCAAAUUGCCAAAGAUAAGUACAGUUACCUAGCUAUUUUAGAAGAAACCUCUUGGAGGCAAAAGUCAAGGGCUUUUUGGUUGAAGGAAGGACAUAAUUACACCAAUUUUUUUCACCGCAUGGCUAAUGCAAGGAGAAAUAGAAAUUUCACCAGUAGUCUCACUAUUAGUUGUGGUCAAGUAGAAAAAGAGGAGGAGCUUAAUAAGGUAGUAUUUUUUCCAUUUUAAAGUAGUGAUUGAAGAACUCCAAGCGAGAAGACGUGAUUUGGCAACAAAACUAUUCAAGAGCAUUGAAUCUUUAGAGGAGGUGAUCAUAACACUUUCAAAAUUGGGGGUGACAAGGUGCUAGGGCUAGAUGGAUUUUCAAUGACAUUUUGGAAGUUUUUUUAGCCUAUAGUAGGCAGGGAAGUGAUGCAGUUAUUUGAGGAGUUCCAUUUGAAGAAUUCCAUGGCUCAUAGCUUUAAUGCAAUGUUUUUAGUUCUUAUUCCUAAGAAAGGAAGGGCUGCUGACGUGAAGGAUUUUAGGCUAGCCUGUAGGAGAGUCUUUAUAAGCUUCUAGCAAAAGUCUUAACUAAUAGGUUGAAAAUGGUGGUUGGCAAGGUGGUGUCAAACGGUCAAAAUGCUUUUAUGGGGGUAGAUAGAUUCUGGAUGCUGCCUUGAUUGCAAACGAGACUAUUGACUCAAGGAAGCGUAGUUCCAAUGCAAGCUUAGUUUGCGAACUUGAUAUAGAAAAGGCUUACGAUCAUGUAAGCUAGAAGUUCCUUCUCUAGUCUUAGAAAAGAUGGGAUUUGGCCUCAAAUGGAGAUAGUGGAUUCUCUUUUGUAUUUCUUCUAUGAGAUCAACAAUUCUUGUUAAUGGCACCCCCACAAAUUUUUUCCUGACCUCUAGAGGUUUGAGGCAGGGGACCCUCUCUCACCCAAUCUUUUUGUAUUGGUCAUGGAAGUCCUCAAUGACUUAAUUGCAAAGGCUAAGCAGGGAGGUUUCAUUAAGGGCUUUAAGAUAGAGGGUAGAGGGAAAGAAGAAACACAAUCAUCACACCUAUUGUUUGCAGAUAAUACCUUUUUUUUUUUGUGAGGAUAAUGUAGAUUAGUUGAAAUAUUGGAAGUGAAUUGUCAUUUACUUUCAAUUAGUGUUAGGAAUGAAAAUAAAUAUGCAAAAAAGUGAAAUUAUUCUAGUGGGGAUGACAAAGGAUGUAGAUAGAGCAACUUUUGUCUUUGGGUGCAAAUUAGGAAAACUUACUAUUGACUCCUUGGGCCCCCUCACAAACUUUGUGGUGUUUGGGAUACAAUUGAGGAGAGAUUUAAAAGGAAAUUGACUGUUUGGAAAAAAAGAUACCUAUCCAAAGGAGGAAGACUAGUCCUUAUGAAGAGUACUCUAUCAAAUCUUCCUAUCUAUUUUAUGUCCCUCCUUACAGUCCCUAGAAAAGUGAGGAUUGGAUUAGAAAGAAUUCAAAGAGACCUUUUAUGAGGAGAUUUGAGAGAAAGGAGAAAGAUGUAUUUUGAUAAAUUGGCCAGAUGUGUGUAAGGAUAAAAAAAUGGAGGGUUGGGGUUAAGAAGAUUGGAGGGUCUUAAUCAAGCCUUGCUAGGCAAAUGGUUAUGAAGGUUUUCUAUUGAUCAUAAGAGCUUGUGGAGGAAGAUCAUUUGUGGAAAAUUUAGGAAGAUGGAGGGGGGAUGGACUACUAGAGGGGUGAGGAAUUCCUUUGAGAUGCGCUUUUGGAAGGAUUUUAGAAAAGGGUGGGAAGAAUUUAGUGUUAGAACUUCUAUCUAAAUAGGGAACGAUCAACGUACAAGAUUUUGGUGAGACAAGUAGGUGGAGAAGGUUAAGUUGAAAGAUGCAUACCCUACUCUUUUCAGGACAGCUUCCCACAAAAAUGCUACAGUUGUAGACUUAUGGGAAGAGAAAUGGGUAGAUGCAGGUGUUGGGAGGAUCAAUGUAGAAGACCGUUCCAAGAUUGGGAGAUGGAGGAGGUUACCCAUUUUUUUGGAGCUUUUUCACCCAUUAAAAGUGCAAGGAAGGAACACUUUAAUUUGGAAAGAUGAUAAGUGGGGAAAUUUUAGUGUCAAGUUGUAUUACAUUUCCCUAAGGCCAGAGAAUAAUUUAGUUUUUCCAGGCAAGAAGAUCUAGGGAUCUUGUGCUCCUCUUAAAACUUGCUUUUUUUUAGGAAGCUGUUUGGGGGAAGAUCUUAAUUGGGGAUAUUUUAAUGAAGAAGGGAUGACAAAUGGUCAACAGAUGUAGGCUUUGUAAAGAUAGUGAAGAAUCAACCGAUCACAUACUCAUUCAUUGUGACAAGACGAGAAAGCUAUGGACCUUUUUCUUAGCAGUCUUUGGUUUGGUUUGUGUGUUUCUGACCUCGAUGAGAAAUCUCCUCCUAUAGUGGAAAGGUAAGGGGCUACAUAAGAAGAAAAAAAAUUGUUUGACACUUGGCCCCAAUUUGCUUAUUUUGGUGUAUUUGGAAAGAGCACAACUGAAGGACUUUUGAAGAUGAAGAGCUUCCAGAUUAGUGAUUAAAGGAUUUCUUCAUUUGGUUGCUCUUAGAGUGGUCUCGAGAUUCUUUAGAGUUGGAGAACCCCUUUAUUUUGAUUUCCUAGAUGCUUUUUAUUGUCAUUAACUUUGCCAUGUUUUUGUAGGUUUUCUUUGUUUGUUGCUUGCUUUAGGUUGCUUUUGUGUGCAUUGCUUGUAUAUGUAGGGCAUGCCUGUGCUUUUUUGGCUGCUUCUUAAUACAUGAUCUUGUUGUCUAUCCAAAAAAAAAAAAAAAAAAAAUGAUUGGAUGCUCACAAUUUUUUUUUUUUAAAUGCCUAUGGAAAUUUGCCAAUAUAUUGAUAAUUUGGUUGUGUUUAAGGUUCAACUAAGGAGUGGGAGUAAGUAAUUUUUUUUAGAAUUGAAGUUGAAUUGGUAAAGCAGAAGUUUAUGUUGCCUAAAGUUUUUAUUUCUCCCAAGAUUUUGAUAACAACAUGUUUGCUUGCUAAGUAAACUAUGGAAAGAAGGGAGGAUUUUGAAUUUGUUUAUGUUCGGUAUUCUAGUUGCAUUAGUUUGUUUCCCACUUUUUGCCUCUAAGAAUUGUAUCAUAAACAAGAAAAUUUUUGGAAUGGUAUUGAAACUUGAUUGAAUUUAGGUUCAACCUUCAACCAAGGAGUGUGAGAGGAUAAUUUAUUGUCAAAAUUGAAGUUGGGACAGGAAACUAAGAGUUUAUGUUGCUUAAAAUUAUUGUUGAUCCCAAAUUUUAAUAAUGCUAUGUUCGGUUGGUGAGAAAAAUGAUGAAAAAUAGAAGACGAUUUUAAUUGUUGUACCCUUUUGUAUUUUAGUUACUUCUAUUUCCCCCAUUUUUGUUACCUACCAAACUAUGAUUAAAUUUGCUUGUGCAUUGAUAGUUUUGAUUAAAUUUGAGGUUCAACUAAGGAGUGGGGUAUUUUGUUGUUUGAAUUGAAGUGGAAGUCAAGGACUAGAAGCUCAUGCUAUUUAAAAUUUUAUUUCCCCUAAAUUUUGAGAAUGGUAUGUUCUGUUAGAAAAUUUUUGAAGUGAGUGUCAAAUUUUGCCAAUGAAUUCUUAAUUUUGGUGGAAAUUGAGAUUCACUUGAGGAGUAUGAGAGGGUAAUAUUUUUCUAGGAUUGAAGCUAGAGUUAGAAAUUAGAAACUUAUGUUUCUUAAACUUUUACUUCAUGGCAUGUUUGGUUGCUCAAGAAAAAGGUGAAAAAGAAAAAGACUUUGAAUCUUGUAUUCUUUUGUGUUCAUGAUUCAAAGUUGUGGUAUUGCUUACUGACUUAGCAGGUUUUGAGGUGCAUUGGUCCUAAUACCUCGAAUCAAUAUUGGGUGAUAUACAUAAUAUGCUAAUUAAAUAGCUCAAAUAGUUCUAAAACAAUAUUAAAUUUUUUUAUAAAAAUAGUUAGAAUUAGAUGAACUUGAAAAAUUAAUAAAAUAAAACAUUUAUGAAAUUGACAUUAUCUAAAUAGUCAUAAAAGCAAGCGGAUUGGUUUACGACAAUGUUAAAAGUUAACAUUCUUAAAACAUUUUGAAUUUCUUAUUUUUACUCAUAUAUUGAGACAUGUUUAAUUGAACGAUGAGGAGAAUCUUUGACAAAAUUUAGAGAUUAUUUUUUUCCUUCCAUUUUCAUUAAAUCCAAGACAUGGUGUUUAUAACUUUGAGUCAUCCUGUGCAUUGGCCGAAUUAAGCGAUUCAUAUUUGGGUUGAAACUAAGUUAUUUGUAAACCACACGAUAGCAACUCGCAUAUUAAAGAAAGCCUAAUGAUCAUGUAGACUGGACUUUCCUUCUUUCGGUUAUGCAAAAAAUGAGUCUUGGGAGAAAUGAAUUGAGUGAAUCAAGUGGUGUAUUUCCAUAGAAAAUUUCUCUAUUUUGGUCAAUGGUACCCUAACAGGCUUUUUUCAAAGCUCAAGGGGUUUGAGGUAGGGGGAUACUCUCUCACUCUAUUUAUUUGUGAUUGCAAUGGAGGUGUUCAAUUGCCUUUUAAAGAGGGCAGUGGAUGGAGGUUUAGAUUGGAAAAAGGGUUUAGAUUUCUCAUUUGUUGUUUGUUGAUGACACCUUGGUAUUCUACCAAGUCUCUUAAGAUUAGAUGACCUAUCUUUGUUGGUUGCUUAUGUGGUUUGAGGCCAUUUUGGAAUUGAGAACAAAUUUAGAUAAAAACGAAUUAAUUCCUAUGGGAAGGGUGGAAAAUAUUGAUGACCUUGUUUAUGAGUUUGGAUGCAAGGUGGUUAGUCUCCCGUCCACUUACUUGGGCCUCUCUUUGGGUGCACUGUUUAAAUUAGUGGCAACUUGGGAUUGUGUGGAAGAGAGGUUUCGUAGAAGGUUGGCUAUGUGUAAGAGACAAUACAUUUUUUUUUGGCUAAUUCCUACUUUCUUUUUUAACCCUCCUUUCCCAAAUGAAAGUGCUCAUUUCCUUUUUCAGAUCGAGUGGAUAAGUGGUACAAAGCACUUGUGUGCAUUGCGGUUUUGGUGGUAACUUGACCAUGGUAUUGGUGUUUUACCUGUGGUUAGGCUGGUGUAGUGUGAUGUGUUGUUGUGGAAGUGAUGGAAUGAGGUGUUGGUAUUAUAUUGUCAGUGGUGUGUAAGGCUAGUUGCAUCGAUUGUGUUUUCUUGAAAUUUUUUGUCAAGAAGCUUUAUAAAAUUAGUAUAUUUUAGUGUGUGUGUGUGUUUAUUUUUUAUUUUUAUAGCUAGGGUUACCUUUAUGCCCAUGAAUAAUUUGUUUUGAAAUAAAAGGGUAUGUCUUGUAGUAAGAGUGGCACUGAAAAUUAAACUUUGAGUCUGCUUCAAAUAAUCUUUGCUUUGUGGAAUAGCAAUAGGUGGUUGAUGGAAGUUUUGAUAUAACUUCAUUGAUUAGGUGUGGUAUGGUGAUUAAGAAACAAGUAAUGGUUAUUAGAGAAGAUUAAUCGCUUGAGAAGGUGUUGAACUAACUUUUCCUUCUCAUUGUACAUAAUGCUAUAGAUGAAAAGGAAGACUCUAAUUAGUAAUUGUAUCAUGAUCAACGCAAGACUCAAGAUUCCUUGGCUAGGCAUAUCUUGUGGCAGGUGAGUUCUCUAAGACAUCAACUUAUGAUCCAUUUUAGUAUGAAAGUAUUCGUGUUAGACAACUUGAGCAAAAGGAGGAGUGUCUUGGGAGGAGGUUUUGUUUGAGAGUUUUAAAAGAUCACUUCAAAGUGUCUCAAUUAAUGGUAUAUAUCAAGAUCUUAAUUAGGAUAUGUAUUGCAAUUAACCUUGAAGAUCUCUGUCUUAGUGAUCAUUGUUAAUCUGCAUUGAUAAAGUGUGUUGGAUUUUCAAAUCUAAAUUCCAUCAUACACUCUUGACCAUAAGAAGACAAUAAUUAAAUGGAAUACCUAGUCGUGAGGUGAAAACCAUGAGUUGCCUUGGCUACUUAAAAAUCCACUGUUGAAAGAUCAAAUUAUAAAGAACGAUCUUAUUCAAACUGAGUCAAUAAAGAUCCUUAUCUAACCUACUUGUCUCAUGCUUUUCACAAUCAAUCUUUAAUUUUUCAUCAACCCAAAGUUACAUCUACUCACUUGAAAUUGCACAAGGUAGGCUUCACACCAAUUAUUGAGGUCUCUCUAACUUGGAUAUCCAAAAUCACUCUGGAUUCGAUCUCCAAACUAACUUUGGAUUUGACACCAAAAGGAAUAGAAGGAUCGUAGACAAGAUCCAUAUUGGAUCUAAGUCAAUGAUGAAAUUCUCUCAAUUUCACAUAAGAUCUAGGUUGCUUAAUUCAAACCAUAGAAAAUGCUUUCAAAGUGGUCUCGCUCCAAGCUUAUUGAGAGUUGUUACGAAUGAGAUGAACCCUUAUAGGUGUUUAGAGGUUCAUGACAAGCUUCACAACUACUUUUUAGUUGGAAAUUUUUAAAAACAUGUGAGCACUCAAAAUGAGUUUUCUGCUCUUUCUUGCACACAUAUGCAAGCUUCUUGUUAGAAUGUGCAAGCAAGACAAUGAGAAUCACUCUCUGGUGCAUUAAUUUGCUUAGGUGUGUAAGUGGAGACUUAAGAAAUAUAUUCUUUUUUAAAUCAAUGUUCACAUUUAAAAUCCUCUUGUGCAUGUGUGCAAGAGACAUAUUGAGAGCUUGCACAUGAGCACAAGAAAAGAAGGAAACCAUGUCUUCUUUGACCAGCCUUGUGCAUGCACAAGCACCCUUGCACAUAUGCUCAAGUACCCUCAUGCAUGUGCACAAGGUGCAUUAGAGAAGACUUGAUCUUUCAGCAGAGUUGUGCAUAUGUGCAAGCAUUGCUGUGCACGUGCCCACUUCCCUGCACACUGCUAGUUGAGCCUCUAUAUGGUUCAUAAUAUAUGAUAGCAAUUCAGUCUUGUAUGAUUCUGAAACAAUUUCACCUUACCAACAUUAACUUGGCCAUCAAAUUAAUGUUAUCUUUGGCCAAGCAUCACCAACGUUGAACUGAAGUUGUCAUUGAUUUAUCUUAUGAACUUAAGUUGAUAUCCAACCUAAACUAGAACUUAAAUUGUGAUGAAAUUACCAAUAUAACACCACAUUUAUAGGUUUGUUUAGAGUUCUCCAUAUAUGGUUUGUUUAUAUAUUUGUUUACUUUAUUUUACUUUGUUGGAUAUCGUCGCCUUUAAUGAAUUUAAUAUGCUUCAUAAGGAGAUUUUUAUAUGUAAGAAUUUAUUGUCUGGAAAUAGAAUAUUGUAAUCCCAUCAAGAAACUUGAGGAUAUAAGGGGAUUGUUCUGUGUCAUUAUUGUUUAUAUUAAUUUUUAUCUAAGUUAGCACAGUUCUAAUGGAACUUCCAGAUUAUCCCUUUGCAUAAACAAUUUUAUUUAUUAGGUUUGCCUGUCACUUCCCUUGAAUUAAAACUUCAAAUCAAUAAAAUGAUUUAUGUACUCAUUACAUUUCAGGCAGGAAUGAUAAUGUUGGGGCAGAUAAUGAAAGAUAUGAUGUUAUUGUGGUUGGAGGAGGCCAUGCAGGCUGUGAAGCUGCCCUUGCAUCUGCUCGUUUAGGGGCAAAAACUCUUCUUCUUACUCUAAAUAUUGAUAGAAUUGCAUGGCAGGUAUGUAUUUUAAUAUUUAGUGGCUCUAUCUUCAUCAUAUACUCUUUAACUUUUCUUUUCAACAUUAGAAAACUCUACUGACGUGAAGUGAAGUUUUCACAUUAUAGAUAAAAGGUUUUAUCCAAUUGAUUUAUGUGUUCAACUGUAGCUAAGAUUUACCCAUGUGUGUUUUGGCUGUGAAAGCUUGUUUUGGCAGACACAGGAUUUAAAGUUUGGGUGGGCAAUUGGCAAAUGCAUGUGAUUUUUAUUACACUUAUUUUGUUCACUAUGAUUAUACAUCUGAACUCUAAUACAUGUGAUUUUCACUUUUGUAUGUACAGUGUACUGGUGGUCUUAGUAAUUGAAGAGAGAAGAUAGGAAAAAAAAUAAGGGGGGGGGGGGGGGGUCGGUCUGUGGAGGACAUUAUUAUUUUUUUAAUAUUACCUAUAAUUUUUUUUUUUUUUCCAAGUUGUGGGGAUGAGUGUUUAUUUAUUUAUCCAGGGGAUUUAGUUCACUCUAUUCGCACAUGGUCUUCAUUUGCUUUACUUGUGAACCAGGGUGCUCGUUGCCAACUCAUGCUGGUGUUGAGUGUUGUGGCAACAAAAGGAACACCUUAUCUUUGUUUUGAGAUAGAGCUUUUUUAUGCUGAUUAUGUCCUUCGCAUUCCCAUUUUCUUGCCUUUUUUCACUGUGAUAGAUAGCUAAUUUUGUUUUAUUAUUAUCAUUAAAAGGUGAAACCACUUUCAGGUUCAACUGAACCUGAUUUAUCCACAUGAUGUUACAUUUUCUUUAUGGUAACUGCAAAUCUAUCUUGUAAAUCCAUGUUCAAGAGAGAUAUCUUUGUUCCAUAAGAAAUGUCAAGCCUAUGAAAAUAUUUUCUUACCAAGAGAAGUAUGGUGCAGCCUUGUAAUCCUGCUGUAGGUGGACCUGCAAAGUCACAAUUGGUACAUGAAGUGGAUGCACUCGGUGGUGAAAUUGGAAAAGUUGCUGAUAGGUAAUGCCUAAAAGCUGUCUAAUUUUGUCUGACAGCAAUUGUUACUUGCUUUGAUGUUUGUAAAUUGAUUUUGGUUUAUACACUUUACUAUUUUAUGGCUGAUCUUUCACAUGCAAAAUUUUUUUAACUGUUGCUUGCAUCCAAAAAAUUUGAACUUGUAGUAGAUAAGUUUGCAAUUUUUUGAUUAAUAUAUGCUUGUAAAAGCACCCAGCUAUAACACAAACCUGAACACUGGUGGUGCAGAUGUUUAUGUGUGAUGGUAGGUAGGGGUCUUAAUAUAUGGAAGAAUAAACUCAUAAAUUUUAAACCUUAAGAAUAUUCUUGUGCAAAUGAUGCAUACCUCAUGGAGAGGAAGACAAAAACAUAAUCUGUGGUGAAGGAAAGAGAAAAAGGGGGUAUACUGUUGUUGCAUUUUCAAGUAUAGGAACAUGUGUUAUAAUAAAUGAAAAUGACUCAAAUAGGACACUGUUUGUCUGAGACAAGGGUUCCAGUUUCUAGCAAUUGGCCCUCUUGCCUUAAUUGACUCAAGAGUCUUAAAUUGAGAAUUGUAUUCUGGUUAUGUUACUUCCAUUCAAAAGCUUAGACUGUGAACUUACUGAGGCUUUUCACUACAAAAUUUGGUUUUCUGUGCAUCAUUUGUGGCAUUUGCCAAAGCCAUGUGAUUACAAAUUUCAAGCAACAACUUUCCUUUUUUAUAAUAUGAUUUUGAUUGAGAGAUAUGUGCAACUGAAAAUCAUUUUCUUCUUUAUGCUCCAGGUGUUAUUUACAAAAACGUGUUCUAAACAUAUCAAGAGGUCCUGCUGUUCGGGCAUUGCGUGCACAGACUGAUAAGAGGGACUAUGCUUUGCAAAUGAAAAACAUUGUGGAGAGGCAAGCUUAGUUUUCUUCUUUGUUGGCAAAAAUAGUAGUAAGAGUAUCAAUUUCCAAUUGGCUCAACUAGAGGCAGUGGAGAGCCAAGUUUAUUUGCUUAAUAGUUCUAUCAAUUGUUCUAGUCUCCAUUUUAUUGCUUGAAUGGGGGAAGUAUUGUGCAUGUCUUAAGCCUUCUAUGUUUUAGUAUUGUGGGAUUUCUAGUAUUAAGUCCUUUUUGUGGUUUGCUUUCAUUUCUAAGGCCUCCACUUUAUCAUGGGGUUUCUUCAAAACAUUCCUUGAGAUUGCCCCUAAGGUCCCCUUUGGGACCUCUGCAGACUUUUGUUAUCCCUUCUAUUCUCUUUGCUCUUAGACCUUGAUGACUCACCAUCCCCUGUGGUUAGCCGCCUCUACAAUUUUAAACCUACCAUCAACACCCUUCAAUAUCAUUUUGCUAGACUGACUAUUGAUUUGGUGUCCUUGUAAUAGGGUGGGGGUUUUAGAUAUCAGAGCCUAAUGGGUUUGACCACCAAAUGGAAGCAGAUGAUUAGGAUUUUUUUAAGCUAGAUGGUUUUGAGUUGACUGUUGAGGUUGAACUUCUAGAAUUACAGGAAGAUGUAAAAAAGGCUAAAUCCACCGUCUCAGGCCUUAAGUUGAGGGGGAUUCAUUGUAAACAUUUUCUUGGGUAACUUAGUAUAGGAAAUGGGGCAUAGACAUACUACCAUUCUAGAGACGAGCAUUACUUAAUUAAUCGAAAUUAGAUCGGCAAAUAAAAAAGCUAAUACCUUAGCCAAGAGAGUAGUUGUCUCCUCCACUAUCUUUAUAGGGGAUCCCUUGAGACCAUCAUGCCUUGGUCUUGUCUCCACCUCUACCUUUGUCUUGGGUAUAAAUUUUUAAAGUUGCUAUCUUUGCUAGAAGUUGUGUUAGGUGAUCUUUAUCCUUCUUUUUGUAUUUCUUUAUGAAGAACCUUUCUUCCUUCAUAGUACAUUCUUGUUUCUGUGUAUAAUACUGAUUGGGUUUUUGAUAAGAAAAAAGGAAUACGUUGGCAAUUUUUGUUACCAUAAUGCUAUAUUUAAAAAUGCAUGGAUGAAACAAAAUUAUGGAUCCCUUUUUUAAUCCUUUUCAUUUUGAUCGGGCUCUGAAGGGGGAGUUUUACGAUUGUUCUGGGGAUAUAGAUGAGGAAAUUCGGGUUGAUAAAACAAUGUGGUUAGCAGUGUAUGAGGGAUACAAUGAGAAGGUCAGUGGCUGUAGGGACUUGGGAGUAAUCAAGAGAAGCAGUGAUAAAGUCAGGGGGACGGAAGGGGCCUUUGGCACACCUGACAUACAAGCUGUGAGAAAUGAGCCUGAGGAAAAAUGGGAGGAGAGUAGUUUGGCAAAAUUCAGUCAUUUCUUGGGAUUCUCGACGGAGGGAUUGGAAAAAGGAAAUUAUGAAUUUUUUUAUUAAAAUCAGAAAGAGACGGGAGAAGAUACAUAGUAAAGAGCUUCUGGAAAAGUCAAAGUUCGAAAGGGAGUUAAAGAGAUUGGAAUGUUCUGUAAACUAUGAGGGGGGGAAUAAGCAGAAAGGAUCGGUACAGGGCAAAGGGAGUCAAAUUGUAGUUGCCCAAUGAAGCUAAAAGUCCUGAGCUGGAACGUGAGGGGAGCAAACAAUAGCUCCAAAAGAAAAAUUAUUAAGGCUUUUAUAAGGAACCAGAGGGUGGAUUUACUCUGUAUUCAGGAGGCAAAAAUUCAAUCUAUGUCGGAGGGUAUUGUGAGAAGUUUAGGCUCUGUGAGAUUCUUAGAUUGGAAAGCUAUGAAUGCGGAGGGGGCUUCGGGAGGAAUUCUAAUUUGUUGGGACAAGAGGUCUUUGGACAUUCUGGAUUGGAAGGAGGGAUAUUUUACUUUAUCUUGCAGAUUCAGGAAUGUAGAAAAUGGGGCUGUUUAAAAUGGGGCUAUUUGGGUGUUCACGGGAGUUUAUGGCCCUUUCUCCAAAGUGGAAAGGGAUGAAUUAUGGGAAGAGUUUGGGGCGAUUAGAGGCCUUUGGGAAGACCCCUGGUGCCUGGGGGGGGAGGGGGGGGAUUUUAACAUCACCCUGUUCCAAAUAAGCUCAGCGAUGAGGAGAUUUGCUGAGAUUGUGGAUGAUCUAGGGCUGGUGGAUCUUCCUUUACAGGGGGGAGAAUUCACCUGGAAUGGGUGCCACAAUAACCAAGUUUGGGCAAGAUUGGACAGAUUUCUUGUGUCCCCUAGCUGGUUAGACCAAUUUUGUGGGAUUACCCAAAGUAGGCUGCCACGGCUGAUUUCCGAUCACUUCCCAAUCAUGCUAGUGGGGGGUGGGAUAAGACGAGACCCGACUCCAUUUAGAUUCGAAAAUAUGUGGCUUAAGGUUGAGGGAUUGAAAGACCUUAUGCAUAGCUGGUGGCAGGGAAUUGAAGUCAGGGGCAGUGCUAGCUUUAAAUUGGUUGCUAAGAUGAAGGAAAUCAAGCAGAAGCUGAAAGUUUGGAAUAGAGAAGUUUUUGGGAGGCUGGACUGCAACAAAUCUUCAGCUCUGCAGCAAGUGGAUUUUUGGGACCGGAUGGAAAGCGAGAGAAGCCUAACUGUGGAGGAAACAGAGUUAAAAAAAGAAGCAAAAGAAAAUUACAAAAAGUGGAUGCUUCUGGAGGAAACUCACUGGAGAUAGCUUUCAAGGGAAAUCUGGCUGAGGGAGGGGGAUAGAAACACGGGUUUCUUCCAUCGUAUGGCAAACGCUCAUUGUAGAAACAAUUCUUUGGACAGAAUUAAGAUCAAUGGGGAAUGGCUAUCAGAGGAGCAGGAGGUUAGGGAAGGAAUUGUUAAUGCUUUUCAUUAGCUGCUAUCGGAAGAUACGGGGUGGAAGGCGGACAUUGGGAGGCUUCAGUUUGAUCAAAUCAGUUAGCAAGAAGCAGAGAAUCUGGAGAGGCUUUUUACAGAGGAUGAAAUUCAUGCGGCUUUAAUGGAGAUGAAUGGGGAUAAAGCCCCUGGUCCGAAUGGCUUUACUAUGGCUUUUUGGCAAAGUUGUUGGGACUUUGUUAAAGAGGAGAUCCUAGAAAUGUUCAAGGAAUUCCACGAGCAUAGCUCUUUCUUCAAGAGCCUCAACAAUACUUUUCUGGUUUUGAUUCCCAAGAAAAGUGGGGCUGAGGACCUUGGAGAUUUUAGACCUAUUAGUCUUCUGGGGGGACUUUAUAAGUUAUUGGCUAAAGUGCUAGCUAACAGACUUAAGAAAGUGGUUGGAAAGGUGGUCUCCACUUCUCAGAAUGCCUUUGUGAGGGGAAGACAAAUUCUUGACGCUUCUUUAAUUGCAAAUGAAGUGAUAGACUUGUGGCAGAAACGAAAAGAAAAGGGCCUUAUUUGCAAAUUGGACAUAGAAAAAGCUUAUGACAACAUCAAUUGGAAGUUUUUGUUGAAGGUUUUGCAAAAGAUGGGCUUUGGGUCUAAGUGGCUGGGGUGGAUGUGGAGUUGCUUGUCCUCAGCCAAAUUCUCAGUUUUGGUUAAUGGAGUGCCAACUGGCUUCUUCCCUAGCACUAAGGGCCUUAGACAAGGAGAUCUCCUAUCUCUUUAUCUCUUUGUUAUGGGAAUGGAAGUGCUGGAUGAUCUUAUUAGGAGAGCUGUGGAGGGGGGGUUUUUAUCAGGGUGUAAUAUUAGGGGUGGCAGUAGAUCCUCUUUGAACAUCUCCCAUUUAUUUUUUGCUGAUGACACAAUUGUGUUUUGUGAGGCUGGUAAGGAGCAUCUAACUCACUUAAGUUGGAUUUUACUCUGGUUUGAAGCGGCUUCAGGUUUAAGGAUUAACUUAGCCAAAAGUGAAAUUAUUCCAGUUGGAGAGGUGGAGGAGAUUGAAGAGUUGGCUGUUGAGUUAGGCUGUAGGGUGGGGUCCUUACCCUCUCAGUAUUUGGGACUUCCUCCAGGGGCUCCUAGUAGAGCUCUUUAUAUGUGGGAUGGGGUGGAAGAGAGAGUAAGGAGGAGACUUGUGCUUUGGAAACGACAAUAUAUCUCCAAAGGGGGAAGAAUCACUUUAAUAAAAAGUACUUUGGCUAGCAUGCCAAUCUAUCAAAUGUCUAUUUUCAGAAUGCCCAAAAUUGUUGCUAGAAGGCUAGAGAAAGUGUAAAGGGACUUCCUGUGGGGAGGGGGAAAUCUGGAGGGGAAAAUUCAUCUAGUUAACUGGGAGGUAGUUUGUACAGACAAGGAAAAGGGUGGGCUAGGCCUUAGGAAGCUAGCCAUGUUGAACAAAGCCUUGCUUGGCAAGUGGAUAUGGAGGUAUGCUUGUGACAAAGAUAAUCUUUGGAAACAAGUGAUUAAGGUGAAGUAUGGGCAAGAGGGUCUUGGAUGGAGGCCAAAGAAGGCUAAUGGGGCGGUUGGAGUAGGGGUUUGGAAGGAGAUUCGGAAAGAAUCAGAUUGGUGCUGGGAUAACAUGAUAUUCCGAGCUAGGAAGGGCACCAAGAUCAGAUUUUGGACAGAUGUUUGGUGUACUGAUACAACGUUGUCCCAUUGUUUUCCUCAUCUCUUCGUCAUGGCUGUCCAAAGGAGUUCAAUGAUUGAGGAAAUAUGGGACCAAAAUUCUGGUCAAGAAGGUUGGAACCUAAAUUUUUUGAGGGACUUCAAUGAUUGGGAGCUAGAUAUGGUUGGGGAUUUACUCCAUAUGCUGAGGGGUCAUAGGCCUUCUUUGGAGGAAGACUCAGUUUUUUGGAGGCAAGGAAGAAAUGGUCAGUUUAGGGUCAAGGAAGCUUAUAGCUUGUUGACCAAUCCUAAUGAUACAGGCUUUCCUUCAAGAAGUAUUUGGGUGGUUAGGGUGCCAACUAAAGUCACCUUCUUUGCUUGGGAGGCGACGUGAGGGAAGGUGCUUACUCUAGAUAGACUACAAUGAAGAGGGGUGCAACUUGCGAAUUGUUGUUUUUUAAGUGGGUGUGAAGAAGAAAAUGUAAAUCAUAUCCUUAUACAUUGUAUAGUGGUUAGAGCUUUGUGGGAUAUUGUCCUUGGGUUAGUAGAUGUUAAAUGGGCCUUUCCAGAAACUGUAAAGGAGGUCUUAAUUAGCUGGAGGGGCUCAUUUGUGGGGAAGAAAAGGAAAAAGGUUUGGGACUCCAUUCCGUUGUGUAUUUUUUGGACGGUAUGGAAGGAGAGGGAAUAGAUUAGCCUUUAGGGGGGGGGUGUUGAAUAUUUCCGAAAUUAAAGAAGUUUUUUNNNNNNNNNNNNNNNNNNNNNNNNNNNNNNNNNNNNNNNNNNNNNNNNNNNNNNNNNNNNNNNNNNNNNNNNNNNNNNNNNNNNNNNNNNNNNNNNNNNNNNNNNNNNNNNNNNNNNNNNNNNNNNNNNNNNNNNNNNNNNNNNNNNNNNNNNNNNNNNNNNNNNNNNNNNNNNNNNNNNNNNNNNNNNNNNNNNNNNNNNNNNNNNNNNNNNNNNNNNNNNNNNNNNNNNNNNNNNNNNNNNNNNNNNNNNNNNNNNNNNNNNNNNNNNNNNNNNNNNNNNNNNNNNNNNNNNNNNNNNNNNNNNNNNNNNNNNNNNNNNNNNNNNNNNNNNNNNNNNNNNNNNNNNNNNNNNNNNNNNNNNNNNNNNNNNNNNNNNNNNNNNNNNNNNNNNNNNNNNNNNNNNNNNNNNNNNNNNNNNNNNNNNNNNNNNNNNNNNNNNNNNNNNNNNNNUUUAGGGGGGGGGUGUUGAAUAUUCAGAAGUUAAAGAAUUUUUUUGUCUGUAAUUUGUGGAGUUGGGCCAAAUUGUAUUUAGGUGAGGAGACUUUCUCCCUUAUAGGCUUCAUGGAGUGGGUAGCAUCCACUUGAGGGGAGGUGAUUCUUUUUGUCUUUGUUUUUUGAGGCCCUAGCCGCCUUGUAUACCCCCUAUAUGCUUUGUGGCUUUUUGGCUCUUUAUUAAUGCAAUUCCUUUUACUUAUAAAAAAAAAAGAGGCGUGAGUGGCGGAUUUAUAGACUCAAUUAGGUGAGAAGGGUGUUUGGACCCCUAGUUUUUCUAGGUGUGUAAAUGAUUGGGAGAUUGAGGGUUUGGAGUGAUUCUUGUCAAGGCUAUAAGAUAAAGUGGUUAUUGGAGACAAGGAAGAUAAUGUGAUUCUAUUAAGUCUCUUUACACUAUUCUAGAGUCUGGGAGAUCAUUGUCUUUUCCAGUAGAGGUUGUUUGGAAUGGGUGGGUCCCUCUUAAGGCGUGUUUUUUUGCUUGGGAAGCAUCUUCAGGAAAAGCACAGACUCUAGAUCAGCUUCAGAGGAGAGGAUGGAUUUUGGCUAAUAGAUGUUUUCUUGGUCAUAUUGAAGAGGAAUCAAUUGACCACAUUUUGCUACAUUAUGACAAGGCGAGGAUGUCGUGGGAGGUUUUGUUGUCCCUUUUAGGUGUUUCUUGGGUGUUACCCUCUUUUGUAAAAGAGACUCUGCUAGGGUGGCACGACUCCUUUAUUGGAAGGAAAUGGAAAAAUGUGUGGGAAGCAACCCCUUUGUGCCUUUUUUAGACAUUGUGGAAGGAGAGAAAUAGAAGAUCUUUUGAUAAUGAGGAGCUUUAGGGCCAAGGACUAAGAACCGGUUUUCUUUGUAACUUGAUGUAUUGGACCAAGUUGUAUAUAGGUGAAGGACCAUUGUCCUUAUUCGACUUCAUUGAUUGGUUGGGUUCUUGUUGAGGGAAUGAGUUUUUUUUUGUUCCCCUUGUCAUUUUUUGAUGCCUUUUGGUGACCAUUGUAUAUGUCCUGUGUACUUUAGUGUGCCUCUUUGGCACUUUAUUAUUAUUAUUUGCAUUUAUCUAUAAAUGAUAUUUAGUCCAUUAUUUAUAUGUGGAAUCUGUUACCAUUUUCCUUGUAUGUUGGCUAAAGAUGCAUGGCAUUCACCCCCAAAUUCCCAAGUCGUCUCUCCCUCUCUCACUCACUAUUUUUCCAGGAUCUGUCCUAUUUCAUAUUACAUACUCAUGUUUCUCUCUGUUUUUCCAUGAUCUGUCUUAUUUCAUAUUACAUUGAGCACAUGCUGCAAAAUACCAUCUGGUGGGAAGUUUCUUGUUCAACUUUUAAUGUGCAUUUAUUUGAACAGAAUUUAACUCUCAGUUAGCAUUUAUUUCAACAGAACAUUAAAGUUCUUUUAAAUAAAAAAUGGACAUACAAGAGAAGGAUGAUGAAUCCUUCUAAAUCAAUAAUUGUCUAUGGAGUAAAAUAUGUAAUAGGAGUUUGUCUGUCAACAGAACACCUCCUUGUCAAGGAAAUUUAUUCUCUACUUUGUCAUGAGCUGUCACAUUUUUCUUUAACCAUACAGAGAAAAUGCCUAUAUAUGACUAUUGGAUAUUGGCUGCAUAUAACCUUCUAAUUAGUGUGAUUUACUUCUAUUUCAGCUGUCCAAACCUUUCUAUUAGAGAGGCGAUGGUGACUGAUAUCCUACUAGGAAAGAAUGACAAUGUAGAAGGUGUUCGAACAUUCUUUGGGAUGGACUUCUAUGCUCCUUCUGUUAUUCUAACAACUGGCACUUUUAUGAGCGGUAAAAUUUGGGUUGGUAGAACUUCUAUGCCUGCAGGGAGAGCUGGUGAGUCAGCUUCACAUGGACUCACUGAAAACUUGCAGCGCCUUGGAUUUGAAACUGACCGGUUAAAAACUGGAACCCCUGCACGUGUGGACUGUCGUACUGUAGAUUUCUCUGGAUUGGAACCCCAGCAUGGAGAUGAAGAGGUCCUUCCAUUUAAUUUCAUAUGUAGGUUAACUAGAUUUUUUCCCCUGCAUAACUGGAGUUUUCAAAUAAUGUUUUGCAAUUGACUCAAUCCAAACAUAUUGCAAGCCAGGAAAUUUUCAAUUAGAGGGGCUAAACUAAUAGUAUGAAGAUAAUGUAAUGAUAUUUAUAAUCACACUAUAUGUUCAACCCGAAAGGGAGAGUCUGACAUAAAAGAUCACUAGUACUUCAUAAUUCAUUAUUCAAUGCUUAACCUGGUUAAGUGUGUGAAGUAUUAGGUAAAACAAUUAUUUUUUAUUUAUUUUGAUUUUCUAAUACCAAUUUGAUUCCUAGUUAAUUUUUAUUAUUUAUUUAUUUUUAAAUCUAGUAGUAUGAACAGAUGAAAAUUAUAAGCUAUGCUAACAAAUGCAAGGAUAUAAUAGUUUUAAUACCAUUUUUUUUGUACAGACUUAUUUUAGUGGCAAUAAUAUUAAAAAAUAGACUAUCUAAAUUUAGAAGUUAAAUACGUAAGGAAGUUAGAGAAAUUGAAGAUUGUGGAAAGUGGUAGAAAAGGUGAAAGAAGUAGGAAGUUUAGGUAUGAAAAUGACAUUCUUGUUAUUUUGUUUUUCUUUUAUUGUUUUGAAUUAGAUGAAAAGUGAAAUUGAGGUGUUUGUUUUCUUACAAUUUCUUAGUCUUCCUAUCUUUGUUUCUUUUUCUUAGAGUUACAAAAGAUUUUUUUUGAUGGGUAAAUAAGGAUUGUAUUAAUAAGAAAUGAGGUAUACAUGGCGUAUACAAAGUAAACAAAAGACCAAAAAAGAGGUGCGAAGACAAAAAAAACCAGUAAGUUGCAAAUGAUAUGCAGUUUUCCUUUCUUAAAGUAGUGAACUUGUAAGAGACAUUUACUUAUGGGGGACAUUGUUUUUAGAAUUAUGAGCUUGUAAGAGACCUUUUCUUUCCUAGCAUUGUAAACUUGUAGGAGACAACUUAUUUUCUGUUAUUCCCUUUUUAACCCUCCUAAUUUUUCCUGUUUAUCCUUAUUUGUUUUGUUUUUAUUUCCUCAUUUACCUAUUUAAAACCUUAUCUUAUAACAUUUGGGGGCCACGGGGAAAUAUUAAAAAAUUUUAGGCGGGAAUGGGGUGGACUGCCAAGUCGCUCCCCCUGUUCCAUACCUACUGCAAGGGCUUUGGUUGACAUUGCUUUUGCUUUUCGUCAGUAGAAGCUAUUACUUCUAGCUGGCUGGACAGGUUGGUAGUUUGAGUUUGUAUUGCAAUAAAUGCUAGAAAUUCUUUAUUUAUUGUCUAUUUGGCAAAAAGCUUUUUUAGUUCUCUUGCAACCCUGAAAAAUAAAGCUACAUUUAUGUAUAAAUAAAUAUGUUAUAAAAAAAAAUCAGGUUUUUACACAUAACAAACAUAUAUUUGCAAAAGGAAAAAGAGGACCAAAAGGAAACCCUAGACAAAAUUUAGCAAAAGAUAACUAAAGUUGUGAUUUGCAUAAAAUUUUGAUUACCUCAAAUGAUUAAGAUUGUGAUCAAUAAAAAAAAAAAAAAAAUCAACUCAAAAUGAACAAAGAGAAAAUGAGAGAAAAAAUGACAAGAAAGAAAAAAAUGUGUUUAGAUGAGAUAUAUGGAGUGACGUUACAAGUACCCUCAUUACAAGUUAUUAUUUUGAUAGGGAAAUAUCUAUUGUAUUAAUAGCGCUUAACAAAGAGUUCACUUAAAUAGACAUGGUGUAUUCAAGGGCACCAAAAGGUCAUACCUAAUGGUAGAAUAUACAAAAACAACUCCUAUCCACUACAUAGAGCUCACCCAAUCAAUAAAGUCCAACAUGGACAAAGAAUGGUCUAUAAUGUACACUUUAACCCAUUCCAAAAAAUUAUACAUAAAUGAUUGUUUGAUUACUUGAUAAGCUUUUUU